CUUGGUUCUCUUUGAUAUCUCCAUGAUUUCUUCAUCUUUAUUCAUAAUAUCAAACAUAGGCAAACAAAACGAUAAUUGUAACCCCCUACCCCUACCAACAUUUUAUUGUAAGUAUAACUAACACAGGAUAACUAGUUGGCCUCUUAAAACAGUCAAAGACCAGACCCCAAACCAAACCAAACUGCUAAACAACAAAGCAGACAUCAUUAAAAAGACCCCAUCCCCAGAUUGCAUCAUUUUCAAUUCUUAGAAAUGAGGAGCAUAGAGCUGGAGAACCUUCUGCUAGGACGGUCUGCUGCUAAUAUCAUCCCACCAAGCACUCACAUGCUUCCUGCUGGUUGUCAUGUAUUCCUUUCCCAUUUGACCCACCAAGUACUGAGUAAAUGGCAGGUGGCUCAGGUCAACAAGGCUGAAGAAAUCACCAGCCAAGUACUUGUUCUUUGACAGCCUCUCCUCAUAAAUAUCUAGAACUUUGCAAAUUUUGUCACAAGAUGCCAUCCUCUUCACAACAGCCAAAGCAACUCAUAGUUCCUCUUGCGAAUUAUCUCUAAUUUGCAAGAUCCAAAUCUAGGAAUUCAAGGAAGAAUAUCUGUGAGUACAAAUAUCAAAAAAGAAAAACAGAUUUCUUGUAUAGAAACCGCAAAACAAACAAAAUGCAAAUACGCAGAGCACAAAUAUUAGGUUAGAUAGAUGAAAGCAAUUUUCAGGAAAAAUUGCAGAAGUAAAAUGCAUUUAGUUUUUUCACAAUCUGCUAGUUUGUAGUCCAGAUAUUACAGAACUGGAAGUCUUUUCAUUGUGUCCAUGUGGAGCAUUUCUUUAGUCUGGCAAACCAGAUAACAUAUCUUGUUAUAUAAUAUUUGUCCUUGAAUCAAAUAACAUGCCUAAUAUGCCACAAAAGUGAGAACCCUAUAGGCCUAGACUAAGGUCAUGCAACUGAAAGCUGCAAUAGAAGAAGCUGAAACCUAUACUAGAUGAUAAGAUAAAACCGAUAUACGAUUUGUACGAGCAACGGCGUAAACAAGUCAUCAAGUGAAAGCAUUACAAAUUGUUCUCUAUCAGCAGACAUGAAAACUUGCUCUAAUGAAAACAUUGUUGCAAACGGUUUAAACACGAAAAUAGAAUCUUCGUCGCAACCCCAUGGUACAAAUAUGUUUGAUAUAUUGACAGAUUAUAAGUUUGACAGAUAAUUUAAAACUUUUAAAAGUAAGAUGACAGAUUUGGUAAUGAAGAAAGCUUUGGGUAAUUUAAAACUGUACAGGUCAUGGCUUCAUUUUCACUUCAAUAUAUAUAUAUAGCCGAACAAGAAAGGGUUUUCUUGGUUUCUCAUAUAUGGCCAGAAGCAGAUACAGUGGAAGGAGACCUUAUCAGCUAAUUAUUUCAGAAAGAGUGAAACGUAAAAGCAACAUAUAGGAAAAUACUCUCUUAGUUUCAUAAUUCCACACCAACUUGGAGAUUAAAUUAGCAGUAAAUGUACUUGGGUGUUAACUCAUUUCAAACAUUUCAAAGCAUUCAAAGUUAACAGUACCAAAUUAACAGCACCAUUUCAAACAUUUAUCAGUGAGCAAACAUUUCAAAGCAUUCAAAGUUGAAGUAGUAACAGCACCAUUUGAAACAUUUCAAAGCAUUAACAGUACCAAAUUAACAAAGCCAUUUCAAACAUUUCAAAGCAUUCAAAAUUAACAGUACCAAAUUAACAGCACCAGGACUAUGCAUGACAUUCUAGAGCUCAUUAUAUGCACUUCAACAUUGCAGUAGCCAUGAAAGAAUAUCAGAGUGUUUCUAUUCAACAAAAAUCUCAAAAAGCAUACAAAUCCAAACAGGACAUGAGCAUUCAUAGUCCUUUGUUUUCAUUUCUGACUGAUCAAGCAGAUGGAGCCACUGCAAAUAAAUUAUAUAGCCACUGCAAACAAUUGUAUAGCCACUGCAAACGGGGGAAACUAACCUGUAAUGAGGAAAUCGGAGAGGAGACCGAUGAUGAACUGCAGCAACAAAGAACCUGUAAUUCAGGACAAACAAACAAACAAUGAAGUUAGUUGUUGUAUAAUUCCAUGUCAUUCGGUUGAAUUUAGAUUUAAUUUUCAGUAACAGCAGUGUGUAAAUGAUAGAGAAACAAAACAUGCUAAAUAAAAUGGCUACACAAGAACCAUCAUCUAGGCAUUUGACUAGAAAAAUAAACAUGUUUUCACAAAAAUGAAAAUGGAAUACCAGUGCAAUUAGAGUUUGCUUACAUACAUAUUCUCAUACAGCCUUUCAAAGAUAAUUUAAUUACAAAAGAUAAAUAAUAUUCUUAUUUCUGUCAUGGAAAAGCACAAGAUUGUUAAAUGAGUUUAUUGAUUUAAAUGACUAAGAAAAAUGCACAGCAAGUACUUUCAUCAUAACAAUUUCAUGAGCUGGUUGCACUGGUUUUAAUAUUUCACAAUCUUGUCUCUACUGCUUUAGUUUGAUAGAUAAUGAUGUGUGGAUUACAUAAUCAAUAUAUUAAACUGCAGAUGGGAACUUGAGACAAUAUUAAAGAAUUAUAGAAAACAAAAAAUUAAUGGAUGGGAAAAUUAUAAGGAAAAUUAUGAAAUACUGACAACAAGCCUUUAACAAUGCACAAUGCCAAAUGACAAACAAAUUAAGGUCAAGAAGAUUAUUUAAAUGGAAAUACAAAAUCUAGCCUUUCCUUGACAAGUUGGAACACAAACAAGAAUAUGAGACCUCUAGGAAUAUCAGUUGGAACAGAUCUGUUAAUUUCUCUACAAAUGUCCCACUACUGAUAUGCGUUCAUGGUUUAUAAGUGAGGAAAAGGAUUAUUAACUUCUAACAAUGGAUUAAAAUCAUGUUUUUAUUUGAAGUUAGUUGUUGUAUGUCAUUCGGUUGAAUUUAGAUUUAAUUUUCAGUAACAGCAGUGUGUAAAUGAUAGAGAAACAAAACAUGCUAAAUAAAAUGUCUACACAAGAGAACAUGCUGAUCAUUGAUAAUAAAUUAAGCUACAAAAGCAAAAAUGGCAAGAGGAACAAAACAUGGUACAGAAACAGAAAAUAGAGAAACAAAAAACCACUACAGAAAAUAGAGGAACAAAACAUGGUACAUAAACAGAAAAUAAAGAAACAAAACACGGUACAGAAACAGAAAAUAGAGAAACAUAAAGCAGACAGAAUAUGAAAAAUGUUGGAGCAAAGAACCUGUAAUUCAGGACAAACAAACAAACAAUGGAAAAAAAAACCAUAACCGGUAAGAAACGAAACGCCGAUUUACCAAGGACUGAAACAAUCGCAUGCAGAGAGGAAAGAAAUAGGUUAAGUUUGACGGAGAUUACUGAUUCAAGCCGUCCGGAGAUCUGACACCGUCGAAUCGGAGAAGGAUGCAAAGCUGAAAUCGGGAGCGGGUAGAGGUUUGGUUCGCUGGCACGUUCUGUUUAUGUUGGGAGGGAGAGGGUCGGCUGGAGGCGAUUUCGGCAAGGGGAGGGUAAAUAAGACACCGAUUAGCUAAUCUUUGCUGUUGCAAGGGAUUUACAAAUCGGUGGUGAAGCAGCCAAAAUGUGGAAUCCGUCCGCAACGGAUUAGAACAGUAUUAGAGAAAACAGCGAACCAAACGCUGUAUUCAGUGGGGCCACCGAUUCGGGGUGUAAUGGAUUAGCCAUUACACCCAACCAAACAAGCCAUACUUUUUGUAGCGUUAUAACAGUAUAUCAUACAUGAUGAUAGCACAUAGCUUUAGAAAAUAUGAGUUUGAUGAUUUCUUACGCAAAAUCAAGUAAUCUUUUUACAAUAUUCCAAUUUUUUGGCAAAUUAAUCGUGAAGAGUUCAAAUUUGAUUGAAGUAAAAUACUUCUUCUUUUUUUUUUUGGUAAAAAAGGUAGUUCAUUUUUUUUUAAAAAGCAUGGUACUAACAUUUUUUUUUCAUAUGAAAGUAUAAACAUAUUGUAUUAUAUCUAAUAUUAUAUAAUAUACAUUUAGGAAAAUAUAAAAAUUUUAUUGUUUUAUUCGAUCAUGACUGCAUAUAUAAAAUUAUAAUAUUUUUGUUCUAAAAACUUAGUACCUAUAGUCGAUUGAGUCUUAACUCGAGUAACAUCGACAUUGUUGCCAGUGUAGGAGGACAUGGGUUCAAGUGUACUAAAACGUAUUAUCCUCCUGUUUAAGAGUCUGAGAGAGACUAUAAAUAAUUUUAAGUAUUGGAUCAAAACUAACAAAUAUGAUAAUAUUUUUAGGAAAAUCUGAUAACUAUAAAAGAUAUAUAGAAGACCAAGAAAAACCGAAAUGAAAACAUUAAACAAAGCAAACAACCAAACAUUUGACACUGUUAAUCACAUAACACAACAGAUUGGACAUCAUGAAAUUCCGAUUGUUCUUUCCACGGUCAGUAAAAUAAAUUGCUUAACACAGACAGAUGACAUACAAACAUAAAGCAAACUAACAGUAAAUUAAAAACCAGGCGCUGCAAGAAGCACCCUUUAUUUGUUGUUCACUUGUUCAGUUUCUCAGUAACAACCUUUUUAAUGUCAUCAGCAAUGGCGGAUGCAUCCAUGGACACACCAAACAGUCCCCUCCUUGAUAAUCCACAGCAAUACAAGUUCUUUUCUCCUUUCCAAUGGUGUGGGAAGUCAUUUUUAGGCAUCCCGGUUUCAUUCAGAACAUGCUUAAAAUCCUGCAUAUGAAAAUGUGGUUAUUAAUGACAACUUGUAAAUAAUUUGCAUUAUCAAAAGAAGAUUUCAUCAUAUGAAUAACUAAUUAUUUAGUCUGAGUUUAGGUUAAUUUUACUAGAAACUAAUCACAAAUGAAUAAAUAUUAAAUUGGUCACGCGAGCACAGAAAAUCGAUUAUAUAUGAACACGUGACUUAUAAUAAAUAGAAAUCGACAAAAAAAUUGUUCAACGGUUUCAUAUUAAAUUGAAAUCGACAAAAGAGUUAACCGUGAAUUAACUAAAAAUUUAACGAUUUCAUAUUAAAUAGAAAUCGACAAAACAUAGUGUUGCGGAAAGGAUCGAUUCGAGAACUCCGAUAUGACUACAAGUAAAUUGACCGGAACGAAAAAUAAAGUGAACACAAGGAUUUACGUGGUUCGGCUUUAAUGCCUACGUCCACGGGCAGAGGCGAAAAGAAAUUUCACUAUAACAAGAUGAAGAUUACAAGUGUUUUACACUCAAGACACAACCCGAGAACCUCACAACUCUCAACCCCUAUAGAAAACCCGAAAGCUAAAAUCCUAGCUUUCAAAGAACAAGAUUUGCUCUCUCUUGGUUUGGGAUGAUCAAUAUGGCUAAUGAACCUCUCUAUUUAUAAGAGAGUUCAAGGACAUAAUUGUCCAAAACUUUGGCAAAGAUUUGUGGUUGAAAAUGGACACCAACAACCAUCCACUAAUCCACUACCACCAACAACCCACUACCAACAACAACAAUCCACUACCAAUUUUAAGCCAUUUCUUAACAAAUCUCCACCUUGGCUUGAAAUUUACCAAGCUGAACAUCAUAGUGAACUGGAUCACCUCUUCCAAACGCCUCUCUGGCGCUAAUCAAUCCCGAAUACCUAUCAAGUCCAAGCAAUGCUUGAACUUAUAUGCAGGGAUCACCUUAGUUAACAUAUCUGCAGGAUUCUUCUCGGUAGCAACCUUGCUGAUAACAAUGUCACCUUGCGUAACAUGUUCCCGAACAAAAUGAUAUCUGACAUCAAUGUGUUUGGUCCGUUCAUGAAACAUCUGAUUUUUAGUCAGAUGUAUGGCACUCUGGCUAUCGCAAAAUACAACAGUGAAAUCCUGUUGUAAACCCAAACUGCUUACUAGACCUUUCAUCCACAAUGCUUCUUUCACUGCUUCUGCUAACGCCAUAUAUUCCGCCUCAGUCGUAGAUAAGGCUACGGUAGACUGUAACACAGCUUUCCAACUAAUGGCUCCUCCAGAAUAAGUGAAAACAUAACCCGUCAGAGAUCUUCUUUUGUCCAGAUCUCCAGCAUAAUCAGAGUCCACAUAGCCCGUGACACUGCUAGUGCAGUCACUCUGAUCAUAUACCAAGCAUAAAUCUGCAGAACCUCUCAAGUACCUGAGAAUCCAUUUCACGGCCUGCCAGUGUUCCUUGCCAGGACAACUCAUGUAUCUGCUGACCACACUAACUGCAUGUGAAAUGUCUGGACGAGUGCAAACCAUUGCAUACAUCACGCUUCCAACUGCACUCGAGUAUGGAAUGUGAGACAUUUGCUGCUUUUCUUCAUCAGAUUGUGGUGACAACUCUGCAGAGAGUUUGAAAUGUGGUGCCAACGGAGUACUCACAGUUUUCGCUUUAUCCAUGCCGAAGCGUUGAAGAACCUUUUCAAUGUAGUUCUUCUGCGACACACGAAGCUUGCCCGCCUUGCGAUCUCUGUGAAUAUCCAUGCCCAAAAUUUUCUUGGCAGCACCCAGAUCCUUCAUCUCGAACUCACCACUCAACUGCGACUUUAACUUGUUGAUUUCCGACAUGUUUUUGGAAGCAAUUAACAUGUCAUCAACAUACAGCAACAAAUAAAUGUGCGAACCAUCUGAGAGCUUCCGAUGAUAGACACAAGCAUCAUAGUCACAUCUUGUGUAACCAUGCUGAAUCAUGAAGCUAUCAAACCGCUUGUACCACUGCCUUGGGGAUUGUUUCAAUCCAUAUAAAGACUUCUUUAAUAGACAGACAUGGUCUUCUUUACCAGGAACUGUAAAACCCUCUGGUUGACGCAUGUAGAUUGUUUCCUCGAGCUCACCAUGCAAGAACGCCGUUUUUACGUCAAGCUGCUCAAGUUCUAGAUCAGACUUGGCCACCAUGGCAAGUAAUAUACGAAUGGAAGAAUGCUUUACGACUGGGGAGAAAACUUCAUUGUAGUCAAUCCCCUCUUUCUGAGUGAAGCCUUUAGCAACCAAUCGUGCCUUGAAUCUAGUUGCUUCAACCCCUAGGAUGCCUUCCUUUUUCUUGAAGACCCAUUUGCAACCAACUAUCUUCUGGUUACUUGGCGGCUUAACCAACUCCCAAGUAUGGUUCUUGUGAAGAGAUUCUAUCUCCUCACUCAUAGCAAUUGCCCACUGUGCCGACUCAUCACACGUGACAGCCUCAUUAUAACUGGAAGGUUCUAUACCAAUGGACUCCGCCACACUGAGCGCGAAAGACACCAGAUUAGCGUAACGCGGAUUUGGUUUGAUUUGUCUCUUCGUUCUUCCAGUGGCAAUGCUAUAUGGUUUUUCUUGAGGUGACUUAUCUUCAUCGGAAUCUUGCACCUCAACUUGAUCAUCCUGGACUGAAGUACCUUCCGUAGGAAUUGGAGCGUCCACCUGACACUCCACCUGCUUCUCAACACCGUGAUCUCCCAUUCUAUCUGACUCCUCCUUUUCCCGGGAAUUUGUGGUGGAUCGAAGCAUGGAUGACUCAUCAAAAGUCACAUCUCUGCUGAUGAUGAACUUGGACGAAAUCGGAUCAGGACACCACAACCUGUAUCCUUUCACCCCUUGGCCGUAUCCAAGAAAUAUGCAUUUCUUCGCCCUCGGUUUGAGUUUUCCCUCAUUUACAUGAGCAUACGCAGGGCAGCCAAACACUCUUAAACCAGAGUAAUCAGCAGGAGAACCAGACCAUACUUCCUCAGGAGUCUUCAGCUCAAUAGCUGUUGACGGAGAUCUGUUAACCAAAUAACAAGCAGUAUUAACAGCUUCAGCCCAAAAUUCUUCACCGAGCCCAGCAUUUGAUCGCAUGCAACGAGCUCGCUCCAAGAGAGUUCUAUUCAUGCGUUCUGCAACUCCAUUUUGUUGUGGUGUUCGACGAACAGUGCGGUGUCUCACUAUUCCUUCAUUCUUGCAGAACUCAUUGAAUUCACCUGAGCAAAACUCCAAGCCAUUAUCCGUCCGGAAUCGCUUGAUCUUCUUUCCUGUUUGAUUUUCGAUCAAAGCUUUAAAUUGCUUGAAGUUGAUGAGAACCUCAUACUUGCUCUUCAGAAAAUACACCCAAACCUUUCUCGAGUAAUCAUCGAUAAAGGUAAGCAGAUAUCUGUAACCACCUUUAGAAAUUGUCGGAGAAGGCCCCCAAAGGUCAGAAUGGAAGUAAUCCACUGUGCCUUUUGUCUUGUGAAUCCCAGUGCUGAACUUUACCCGAGUCUGCUUACCGAAGACGCAGUGCUCACAGAAAUUCAACUUUCCUGUACACUGCCCAGACAAUAAUCCUCGUUUGCUUAGCACCGAUAAGCCUCUCUCGCUCAUAUGCCCGAGCCGCAUAUGCCAUAACUUCGUGGUGUCAGAAUCUAGAUCAUCUGAUGAUGACACUCCCGCAACACCUGUAACCGAGGAACCAUCGAGGAAGUAAAGGCCCCGCUCCAAAUUACCACGUAUCACAGUCAAAGCACCCGAGAAUACCUUGAGAACUCCACCUUCAGCAGAGUACCGAAAGCCUUUCUUGUCCAACGUACUCAAAGAGAUCAAAUUUUUCUUCAUUUCUGGAAUGUGCCGAACAUCAGUUAGAGUUCUAACAAUACCGUCAAACAUCUUUAUACGAACUGUGCCAAUCCCCAUGACUUGACAUGCGUGGUCAUUUCCCAUUAGUACUGAACCAGAAUGCUUCUCGUAUGUUGAGAAUGCAUCUUUCGAAGUACUUAUAUGAAAUGUAGCUCCCGUAUCAAGAAUCCAUCUCCCACCAGCGUAAGAGUCGGAUACUGCAAGAACGAUCUCGGCAUCACUUGAAGAAUCUGCAUCAGCUACAUUCGCACGAUCAUUUUGUUGCUCCUGUGAUUCUGAUUUCUCCUUCCUUUUCGGACAAUCUACCUUCAUGUGCCCGUACUUCUUACAGUAGUAGCACUGUAUUCUCUUCUUGGACUGCGAUCUAGGAUGGCUUUUACUUGAACUUCCACCCUUUGCCUUGGAUCUUCCUCGAGCAACCAAGCCUUCGCCUUCAUUGUUUUCGACCACCUUACCAGUGAUUUUCUUCCUCAACUCACUGGAACUUAAGGCAUUUUUCACCUCCUCUAGAGUCAGGUCAUCACGACCGUACAUCAUUGUAUCAACAAAAUUCUCAUACGAGGGAGGCAAAGAACACAAAACAAUUAUUGCUUGGUCCUCAUCAUCGAUUUUGUUAUCGAUAUUAUUCAAAUCCAUGAUAAUGGAAUUGAAUUUAUCCAGGUGCUGGGAAACAGGUGUACCUUCCUCCAUCUUCAGGGCAUAGAGUCUUUGCUUGAGGUAGAGCCGGUUCGUCAAUGACUUCGUCAUGUACUUGCUUUCUAACCGGAGCCACAAACCGGACGCGGUUUUCUCAUCCGCUACUUCUCGUAGCACUUCAUCUCCUAGACAUAGCAGAAUAGCACUAUGUGCUCUUUCUAGCAUGUCAUCCUUUUGCUCUUCCGAAAGCGUGCUUGGUAAUUUAUCUUUACCAGACAAUGCUUUUAGCAAUCCUUGUUGAACCAGCACUGCCCGCAUCUUGAUGCGCCAUAAACUGAAACUAUUUUUCCCGGUAAAUUUCUCGACAUCAUACUUAGUCGAUGAAACACUUGUAGCCAUAAUUUGGAACCUUUGAAUGAAUGAUAAUAUUUUCUUCCUGAUGUGAAAGAUCAGACAAAGCUGCAGUCACAGGGCAAUUCAGAAAAUAUUAUCACUCCUUCAACUACGCUCUGAUACCAAUUUGUUGCGGAAAGGAUCGAUUCGAGAACUCCGAUAUGACUACAAGUAAAUUGACCGGAACGAAAAAUAAAGUGAACACAAGGAUUUACGUGGUUCGGCUUUAAUGCCUACGUCCACGGGCAGAGGCGAAAAGAAAUUUCACUAUAACAAGAUGAAGAUUACAAGUGUUUUACACUCAAGACACAACCCGAGAACCUCACAACUCUCAACCCCUAUAGAAAACCCGAAAGCUAAAAUCCUAGCUUUCAAAGAACAAGAUUUGCUCUCUCUUGGUUUGGGAUGAUCAAUAUGGCUAAUGAACCUCUCUAUUUAUAAGAGAGUUCAAGGACAUAAUUGUCCAAAACUUUGGCAAAGAUUUGUGGUUGAAAAUGGACACCAACAACCAUCCACUAAUCCACUACCACCAACAACCCACUACCAACAACAACAAUCCACUACCAAUUUUAAGCCAUUUCUUAACACAUAGAUUGAUUAAGAAUUUAACGGUUUCAUUAAACUCAGGCUAAGUUAAUCGAAAAGAAUAGCACGAUAGGUAAAGUUGAACAAAUUUAAUAGCAUUAGCCAAAUUAACCCUCAGAAAAAAAAAUGGUUAGAUGAGAAUUCUUUAGUAAUGGGUAUGAAUGUUUAGGGUUUAAAGUUGUUUUAAUGGUUGAGAUAGACAAAGUUCCACUAUCUAAUCUAUAGUGAAUUUUUUAGUUAUGAUUCUAAAUGUUUGGUCUUUAGAUUGUAUCUAUUCAUUUGUUUUAUACAGCAACAAGAUUCGUAUGUCAUUCAUGCCAUCCGAAACUUGUUGCGUCGAGGUUGGGAUAUUAGUAUUAGGCAUGUGCAUCAAGAAUACAAUAAGAUAACUGAUUGUUUAGCAAAUGCUGCAGAAAAAAUGGUUAUUGGUCUGCAUGAGGAUAUUACCGGUUUAUCUUUUGCUAGAUUAAUUGCUAUGUAAUAGUUUUUACCUUCUUAAUAAAAAAAUAGAGUUUGGGACUCUUUUUUUUUUUUUUUUUUUUACCUUAAGCCAGUUAUUAGCUACACUUCGAUAGCCAGUUGCAAAAACAAUCACAUCGAAUUCUCUUUCAGCACCAUCUUCAAACAACACUUUCUUCCCAUCAAUACUUGAUAUCGCUGGAACAACCUACAUAGCAUCACAAAAAAAAAAAAAAAACAUGAUUUAAUAGUUAGAAAUCAUUUGAAGGGUUAUAUUUAGUUUCAAUUAAGAUUGUUAUAAUAAAGAUAUAAUUUUUUUUUUACUUCCAAACAUAUUUAAGAACACUACAAAAUUCCAAAUGCUUUCCUUUCAUCAAUUCACAAAUUGAAUAAAUCUCUUAUAUAACAUGUUUAUAUAGAAAAUUGACGUUGUCUUUCAUUAAAAAGUGUUUAGUGAUUUGAAUUAAUUAGUGCAAAAUGAAAUCAAACAAGGAUUCUAUAUGGAUUCACUGACCGCAACACAAAUAAAUGGUAAGAACAAAAUAAGUGUUAAAAAAAGGAGAGCAUUCAGCACAAUUUAAGCCAAAAUUUGUUCAUAGUAUUGUUGGGAAUUUUGAUUUAAUUGACCUUAAUCUCUUUAGACUUGAUUUUGGCGACAGUUCCAACAUCAAUAACAGGAGCUCUCCCCGCUGUCGCUUUCAGAUAAAAAGGACCUUUGGUUGGCCUACGGAUCCCAUACUUGGAUAGAUCGCCAUAUAAUAUUUUCGACAUCAGUACGGUCAUGAUAUCCACUAUAAAAAUCGGGAGAUACUUGGAGAAUAUCAUGCCUACCCUCACAAUUUCUUUGCUCACCACAUGAACCUGCAACCAAAAAAAAGCUAGAUUUCAGUUUUUUUUUUUUCCUCUUAUUCAAGACAAAGUAUAAGAAACUGAAGUAUUGUGUCUCAAUCCUUACAGGGUUUCUAAUAACAAUGGCAGUUUGAACUCCGUAAUUUGAUAGAUCAUAAGCUAUCUCCAUACCAGAAUUACCACAACCAACGACCAAGACCUCCUUGUUUUCAUACUUGGCACCCGAUUUGUACUCACUGGAAUGGAGGGUUUCACCGCUAAAGCUAUCCAACCCCGGCAGCUCCGGGAUGUAUUUGCCACUGUUUUCGCCUGAAGCCACCACCAAGAACUCAGCAACAUAAACUUCAACACCCCCUGUCAGUACAUUCUUGGCCUCGAUCCGCCAUUUCCCAUCAGCUUCAUCGUAAGAAGCCGAUUCAACAUGUCGUUGAUAUUUAGGCUGGAUGUUAAACGUCUUGACGUAGUCAUCGAGAUAGUCGACGAACAUAUCUUUGGGUAUGUAAGUAGGGCUAUCGGGUGAAUGGGGUUUGAACGGCAAGGAACAAAAUUCUUUGGCUAAAUGGAGUUUCAACCGAUCAUAAGCUCUUUUCUUCCAAAGGGAAGCAUAAAUAUCUUCUUUUUCAAGGAUGAUAUGAGGGAUGGAAUGAACUGAUAAGCAUGCAGAAGUUGCAAGACCAGAAGGUCCAGCACCAACAAUCAGUACCACAAUUUCUUCCAUUCUUUUUUUUUUUUUCUCUGGGUCGGUUUCUUUGGUGUUUGUAAGAAAAAAAAAAACUCUCUUUGGAGUUCAAAUAAAGAGUCUAAAUCUCUUCACUUUGUUAAAUAAGGCUGUCACUGAAGAGGAACACUGAAUAGUGACAAUGUAGGGUUCUUACAGUAUUUAAUGAGGAUGGCAACAGAAAUCUGCGUUUCGUUUCAAUUUUUUACUUUUAAUUGAUUUUCCAUUAUAGCUGAUUUUGUGUAAAUCUUGUAGAAAGGAUUUCAACGAUAGUAACGUGAUUUUGGCAUUGUUAUUUUCUGCAUUUGUUUUUCUCUUCUUUUAUUUUUAUUGGGAUAACAGGCGUUUUGGCUCAUCAACUUUUAACAUUUUUUAUAAUUUUAUAUUCUGGAAUUACAUUCUCCUGUUUACCUGAGUUCAGUGGCGAAAUUAGGGGCAGCUGCCACCCCUAAAAUUUUUAAAAAUUUCAUAUGGAUAUUUUAAAAUUUUUAAAAUUUUAAAAUAGUAAAAGUAAAAUUAUACUUUAAUUCCCUUAAAAAUAUAAAAAUUUGAUUUAAUCCUUUAAAAUAUAUAAAAGUAAAAUCUAUUAAAAUGAUAAAAUUAUAUAUUUUUUCUAUUGUAAAAAUUACAAUUCAAUUUUGACCCUAAAAAGAUUUUCUAAUUUCACCCCUGAAUUACUAGCAUGAUAGUAUUAACUGUGUCAAAAUUUAGUGAUAAAAGAGAUAAUUGCAAUGCCACCUAUAUUAUAUUUGACUAAUGUGACAUUCUUUUACUAUUUUACCCAUUAUUUUAAUGAUUUAAUUCAUUAUACUUAAACCAAAAUGAUGUAAUAAUAAAAAAAAAAGCUAAUGAAUUAAAAAUUCUCUAAUUCUUUGAUAUAUUCUUUUAGUAACAUCUCCAAAAAAUUAAAAUUUAGUUUAUUAGAUUAUGCAUUUAUUUAACAAAAUAAAACACUAUAAGCCUUUUUUAGUAAAAAAAUUAAAAUAAAUAAAUUUGUAAAAAAUAAUUUAGUAAAAUGAGUUUUUAGAUAAUUUUAUAUUUUUAUCAAUCAAGUUACAUUUUAACCAAAUUAACUAACAAGGUAAUAUAAAUAUGGAGUAAUAUGAAUAAACCCACUUAGUUGAAUUGGCAAGUAUGAAUAAAUUUAUUUAUAAAUUUGUAACCUUAUAUAGAUAUUGAUGUUUUUGAAUUAAGUUCUCAUUUUUCAACUUUAUAAAAAUAAAACCAGUAAGAAAAUGGGAACAUAUAUAAAUAACAUAUCAAUAAAAAAGUUUCUUCCUUCUAUUAACCCUGUAAAUUAUUUGAAUUUUAACUAUGCGAAAUACAAAAAGAUUUUAUUAAACAUUGAAUCGGACAAGAUCAACGUGGUUCGACAAGUGAAGAAUAUUUUGAAUAUGCCGAUUCAUAUUACCAUCUAAUGUAUAUGAAUCGUUUUUUUCUUUUUUUUUUCUAAAUUUCUUCAUAAGCAUUAGUACAUUCGCAUAUUCUUUUUAGUAUUACCAAGUUUUCAUAUAAGUAUUAAAUGAUAAAAUAUCGAAUUCGAAAUUAAUAUAAACUUAUGUACCUGUCAUAGAAAUGAUUAGUACAAAUAAUUAAUAUCUUAUAAGUAAAAUUGCACUGGCGUGACUCAAAUGGAUACUUUAGCUCAUAAUUUACAUAUUUUUUUUAUUUCUGCUCGAUGCAUGAAUACCUCAAAAAUUUUGGUAUAAUUAUAUUUGAGUAAUUAAUGUUGUGUAAAAUUUAUACUUUAUAUUAGACUAACACUCUAAAGAUGGAUAUAAUGCAUAAAAGAAAAAGUAAUAAUGGUGUGGGCCUAAUGCAAAACAUAAAAUUAAAUACAACUAAUUGUACGUAAAUACCAAAAUUGGUAACUUUUGUUUUAAUGAAUGUUCCAUAUUUGGCCUUUUAUUACCAAAUUAUAAAUAAUUACCAAAUCACAUUCUAAUUGGGGGUAGGUAGGCAAACUUUUCUUUGACUUCCUUUGACCAAACCAGCAACUGACAAGGUAGCUUAAACCAUGGUUUACGGUUAGAUUUAUACCAGAGUCAAGCAGAAUUAUCCACCUGACUCGACCAAAAUUACCUUGGAUAAAGUGAUUUUAGUUCAAAACAUGCCCACCAAUUAAAAUUUUAAUAACACAGUCCACUAUAAAAAAAAUAAACCACAAAAUAUCAUUUUAUUAAGUUUAAGAAGUAGUUGUUUUAUUAAAUUUUAUUUUAUAGUUUUUUUUUUAAAUUAAUAAAAUUAUGCUUAUCAUAAAUCUGAAACAUAUGUGUUAAUCGGUUGAUUCGGUUUUAAAAUCAGAUAAAAUCGAGUUUGAUUGCUAAUGGAGCUUUGACGUUCUUGGUUAAAGCAAAAAUAUUAGGUUUUUGAGUAUCUAGUUUCAAAUCUUGUUAUGUACAAUCAUGAUUUGAGAGUUUCCAAUCCCACUACAUGCAUUUGCUAUGUUUAAGUUUUGUCCACUUUUUCGUCCCUUAUAUAUUUAUUUUGUAUUUGUAAUGGUAAAGCUUUCAAAAAUAAAAAAUUCAAGUUAGACCAUAUUAUUAAAUUGGGUCAAUUUUACUUAUCAGAUGAGUGUGUAAUAUUUUUUUUUUCGUUUUUGGUCUUGAGAAUUUGAAAUAGAUUUGUUUAUUUAAUUUGUAACUUAUACUAAUGUCUAAAUCCAGGUGCACCAUAAGUGCCAAAAAGGAGCGGGAGAGAAACGUUACCAUUGUCUGAAAGCUUUGGUGUAACGCAUGAAUGGCAAUUUCCCAUUGCCAAAUGCCAAAGGAACAAAGCUAAAACCUAAGAAGCACCGCCAUUUAUAUGCUUUGCUUUGCACACCAUUUCCUUAAUUUAUUCAUUUCAUCUUUAUCCACAAAUUCAAAUAUUCUUAUCUCAUUAUUUAUAAUAUAUAAGUUUGUGUUUACAUGUUUUAUGCUUCAUUGCUAUAUCCGUAAAUUGCAUUGAUAUAAUUAAUAGUUUAACAAGUAUAUGGAAUAAGAUGAUCAUAAUAAUUUUAGGAAUACCAAUUUCAAUUUAGAUGAUGAAGAAAUUGAUCAAGGGCCAAUAAUAAAGAGUAUAUAUGUUAAAUAUUAUAGAUACAAAAGCAAUUAGAUAAAAAUACAUAUGAUGUUUAUUUGCUCUUGUUACUUUUAUUGGUAAUUGUAUCAUUAAACGUAUUACAUACAAUAAUUUAAUAUUAAUUCUUUUUACUUCUUCAGAUUUUUUUUGAAGAAUUAUUAGUAAUUAAUAUUUUAAAGGAAAUUUAAAUCAUGCAAUAUAUACAAUAUGAUGAAUUACGGUGUAAUUACACUCAAUCAACAAAUGCAUCUUAAAAAAUUACAUUUUAUUAUAAUUAUAAAAGGAUGGAUUAAUAAUUCCAAAAAUUAAUUUAAUUAUUACUCUUUUUAAAUAACUGUUAUAAAAAGUCAGCAAAGCCCAAGAGCUAUGCUUAAAUUAUUAUUUUUAAGAAAGUUUAAGCAGCCUCGUAUGUAGUUUCUUUUCCAUGGGCAGGAAGAUGUUUAGUGCAAUAAUCCAGUGAUAUACGGACUUCUUAAAGCAUGCUCGAAAAACUAAGAUCCAACUUUAAAACUAGCUAAAGACUGCCUAAAAGGUCUUGAAAUAUCUUAAAAUUUUGAAACCUCAAGCUGAGUUUGUGAACAUGCCUCAUGUCAGAAGGAUUGAAAUUUGACAUAUGCCAUUCUCCUCAAGCAAGUUCAUUACUAACAAAAUAAAAUAUUUAUAUUCAUUCAUUCAUGUACUACAAAAUUUCUAUCAGAACGAGAACAAUGAUUGGAAGCUAUACUCGGAAAGCCUCAAGCCGAGUUCCGUUCGAAUGCACUGGGAACACCUCCAAAUCAUAUUAGGACACUCGUGCAGACCUUCCUCGCAUACAUGGCCACCAAUACUCUCGUGUCUACCGCUGCCACUCUUGGGUCUCACACGCUGGCCAUGACACAAGCACACUGUAGAUAGUGCAGAGGGGGAAGAAAAGCAAUGUAAACAAUUAACUAUUCAACCGCCAAGGCUGAGUUACAUGUUGCCCUUCUCUCUAUAACAGGUAUCAGGUUGAAGAAAUCCUCUUAACUAUACAUCACCACUCCAAACUCAAAAGGCACAACCAGGAUGCAUGGCACAAGCACUCUGUAUUAACACCACACACCUCCGCAAAUGCAUAAAACAAUAGUCAGCAAGGCUAAUUUAGGGGGAUUUCCAAUCAAAUUGAAGGUUACUAAACCCAUUCACGGCUCCAAGCCCAUUCAGUAAUCUGUUAGCUAAUUCUUGUUGCUGAUGGUUCAUAGCAUCUUGAGGCAUCAAUGGCAUGCUCACCCUUCCAGUGUAAUUCAUAGAGUUGUUCCCUAUGGUAGAUCUCAUAGCAGUUGGAUUGGGAGAAAGACCCAUCCCACCAUUCAUAUUCCCAAAUCCUCCUCCACUUCCAAUGCCUGAAUUGUUGUUAACAAACCCAUUCCCCAUCAAGCAGCUGCCGCUCACCUGUGGAAGCCCAUUGUUGUUAUUCAAGUUAUUCUCCAUAGAGCUAACACUGACCAUGCUACCAGUCUCACUGAACUGUGAUGAAAUCAUCAUUUCUUGAAUGAUUUUCUCGACAGAGUUCUGAGAUUCAUUUGGGUCAACCUCACUUGUCUGAGAUGACUGCUGUGGUGGAAUCUGUGCAGAUGGAUUCGCUGAAUUGACACUCUUUGCUGUAGUUGAAGUACCCAAGGCAUUAUGAGAACUUUGGGGAGGGAGACUAGAUGAGGAUGGCAUUGGAGAAGAGAAUGGUGCAGAAGGAUUGGGCUGAGUUAGUGGCAAAGAAGUAGAGGACCCUGCUGAUGGGAUUGGAACCGGAGUUCCGGCAUAGGGACUGUUCGGAUUGUUCAUCUGGUUUUCAAUCCUCGAAUUCAUGGAAUUCUGUCGAAGAAGCCCCACAAUGGUGGAAGCAGAUGAAGUGGAUUUUGCACCCUGGGAGUUGUUCACACUGGCAACAGCAUUGCUUGUAUAAGGCUGCAGAACAGUUGAUUGUAUUGAAUGAGGAUCAUUAUUUGCAUUUUCUCUAGUAACAUGCUGUUGCUUCUCAGUUUGUGGAGCUGAACUAUGCUGUGCAGAUGAUGGGGAACUCCUUGUCGGGAACUUGGCCAGACUUUCUGAAAAUGAAUAAAGAAAAAUUACCAAUGUCUCGAGGCAAAAAGAGAAAAGAGACAAGAUCAAUGAUAAUGCUACUUGCGACAUUUCAAGCUUUCCAGGAUAAAUUUGAUUCCUUAACAUAUUAUAAGUUAAAGGCAACCUUCUUGAACACUAUAAAGCUAUGUUACUCGAACAGUAUGGUUAGAUUUUUCUAAGUUUCUCCAUGAAUUUGGAGGAUCCUUAGAGGUCAUAUCUCCAUAUCCAUGUGUCAAAGAUAAGUGUUGGACCCAGGUGGGGUUCAUUUCGUGCCUCCAUUUACUGAGGGUCUUUGGGAUUUUUGCAGGGGGAUGACAACCAGAGAUAAUGUCUUCCCAGGUCUCUUGCUGCACUACCUAAUUAUUAGGGCUCAGAUAGGCCAGGAAGAUGGAUAGCAUCAGCACACCACCAAUUGAUCAAAGAGAAUGCUUUUCUUAAUAAGCAGUGAACAUUAAUAAUGAUCAUAAAUGUUGAAAGAUCAAAAUUUAUGAACCAUACCUAUUGGCCCCAUCCUUGUCUCACGGCUAUAAUCAAUCAAAUCCUUCAUGCUAUUAACGACCUCUGAUAUCUGCAAUUGGAGAAUACCAGUCAGAUAAUGUAUGUAUAACAUAAAUUUCCUCUUAAGCUGAGCUGCAAAUCAGCUAUCCAGCCAUCAACUAUUUGUGCUUCAUGUAAGAUGACAUGAGAACCGAGAAAACACCAACCACAGAAGGUAAAUUUGUGGACUAAGAUUGAAGUACGAUAACAAGAAAGAAUAAUAAUCUUGUCUAAGAUCUCAUAGAACAGUAACGGCCUUAUGGACGAUCACCCAUGUAAGAAUUUGUUUGUUGGAGGGGGUUUUAAAGAUGAUAAAUUAGUAUAUAAUGAUAAAUGAUCAUUGCAACAUAGCAUGUGUAUAUAUAAAGAUUUUUGCAGCUAAUCAUUUCCAUUGAUUGAAAGGCCUAUAAAUCCCAUCCAAUUUAAACCCCAUUAUAGUAAGACUCAUUUUUUUUUAGUAAUUUGUUUUUCAAUUAUGUCCCUAUAAAUGACAAGAAAUGACUAAUAAACAUCACCACCAAUAUACACAUAUAUAUGUAAUGAUUAAGGUUUAAGCAUGCACUUAGUCCCAUUAUUGAUUCCAUCCCUAUACUCCACACUUUGUUCAGAUCAUUCCCUGCACAUAAAUAAAUGAAAAACACAUUGUUGUACUCUCAAACUUGUGGAUUCCAGCAAAAUUACUCAUACAGACCACUCUGCUUCUAUGUACAACUAAGGGUACUGAUUACCAGUACAACCACAGGCGUUUUUAGAACUUAUGUACUUUUUUUAUGCCAUUUAUUUUCCAAAAUCCUAGAAUUCAAGCCAAGUGACCACAAAGGGCCAUUCUACUACGUUAAAUGUUCAGUCCCCUCUAGUUCCAUGUUAUAGAAUUUCGUACAAUCAAGUAAAAUCACCAACCCCAUGAAUCUCAAACCACUAAGUCUCUCUAUCUUUUAAAAACUAGUUACCUGUCUCUAAAACAGGACAGAAAGAGGUAUCAAAGCUUGAUUCAGUUGUCACAUUUACUCAUUGAAUUAUUUAGAUCUUGUUUAACUACCAGCUUUGGAUUAAAUAACAAAAAGAAAACGUACAGAAGAUAAAGAUAGCAAUAAUACAACAAAAAGAGAAGACAAAAGACCACAAUAUUUCUAGACAUAAAAGAAUUUUAUUUAAAAAAAUAGAGAAAAGAAAGAACAAUAAUACGAUACUUUGUGCAUUUUGAUCUUUCACGUGUUAAUGUCAUACAAUACCAUGUGACAGGCUUUGCCACAAAAAAAAGGUAAAUAAAUUAUAUGGCAAAACUUGUCCUAAAUUUGAACUACAAUCAUUAGAGUAGCAUGUAGUUUGAACUAAAUUUUAUUUAAUUCAUAAUGAUCGGAAAUAAUAUUUAAGUCUCUAGUACCUGAAGGCACCGCACAUAUCUCUUUGUGUACCCUAAAUCAUUAACUAAAGGGACAUCCAAGGCUUUUGCCAAUUGACGAGCAGAUGCAACAAACCUGCAAGAAUCACAUGUUACUGGCAAACAAACUAAGGUGAAACCAAAUAGUAUGCAUAUGUACAAAAGGUCAUGCAUGAAAUAUGUGAACAAGGUAAAGACGAAAUGGUCUUUUAGCAAGAACACCACUUCUACAUCAACAUCAGUUGGAUGCUUCAGUACACCACUUUACAUGCCAUUCAGUAACACAUCAGAGGAAAAUUCCAAACAUGUUUGCAUCACCUACAUUCAACACUACCAAGUCUUUUAAAAAGUUCCAAAAAGUUUACUUAUUUUCUUUAGCCUACUUGAUCUAAGGUUAUACCCUUGAAAGAUCCAAAGAUGUGACUCCAGUCAUUUCUCAUCAAUUCCCCAACAUCAUCCUUUACAUACCUUUAAUCCGUCCUAAUUGAACCAAAUCGCCUAUGGGAGCAUGGGAACAUCCAGGUCUUCGUUGCACGAGUAAAGCAUUUAUGUUAUCUUCUUUUAAUUCACUUUAUUUCACGCUACCCACCCAUUCUUGUGGAUAUUUAGCUUUUCUUAAAUGAAAUUCCUAUUUCUCCAUUCCAGCUAGACCCAUCUUAUGGAUGUUUUAUCCUCUAACUACCCUACAGAAACCAAUAACAUAGAGCAUUAUAUGGCCUUAUCAAUGCAUCAUACUUAAACUUCAAACUGGCAGGCAUCUGUAUAGUAUUUCUCCAUUUCACAGAUGACACCUUAUACCCUCAAUACUUAGUACUACCAAAAAGAUUUGCAAUAAAGAAUUCCUGAUUUUCAAUUCAGAACCAGUCUAGGAAGCAUGAAUAGGCACAGCCCCCAUUCCUCAGGCAUGCCUCAUAACAGUUGCAAAUAAAUAAUUAACAUAUUACAGAGACUGCUCUAAUAAGAGUAUAAAACUCACAUGUUACAGUUAGUCUGUAAGUCCGGUGCAGAUAAGUUGGAUGAUGAAUUCUGUGCAGAUGCUUGGUACUUCUGUGCAGCAGCUCCAAGUUGACUUACCUGGAAUUUAUUUUAAUUAGUUAUCCUAGUCUAGGAAAAUGCAGCUUUACUCCGACACAUAUCAGGUAAAGGCUUCAUUGAAUCUAUAAAAGAAUGCUCUUCAGAGUAUAAGGCAAAGAAAUCACAGAAAGACCAGAGGGGAAAAAUUAAAUGACAUGCUCAAGUUCUCUCCAAACAUAUACUCCGCCCUAAAGAAGGAAACAGAGAAUUUUCCUUUUCAGGAGCCAGAGUGGAGAAAGGAGAGAGGAAGGGUGAUUCUUAAACAUCUUCCUUCACCUUCUACUACUUGUAUCCCUGUUUCUAAAAUCUAUGUUCUUUUAGAGUGAAGACGAGAGGAACUUGUUCAGCAAUAAAUUAUGGUUUUUAAUGUGCCAGCACGAUAGUAAGGAAAAAUAAAGUCAAGUUAACUUACAUUCAUAAAUACUCCAUGAAAGGAUGCUGCAAGACUACUACUUAAGUACAUAAAUCUACAUCUGACAUAUAAAGCAUCCUUUUGUAUACCUGAGGUAUUAUCAAUCUCCGAGGGAUAAGCUCCUCAUGACGCCGUGCACAAAACUCCCAAGAGCAAAUCUAGAAUGUAUAAACAAGAUAAGAAAAAACAAAAUGUCAACCAAACAGAUGUUCCUGCAGUUAUGCUUACUUUAGCACAUGGAAUUUAACAUCUCCAAACCUUUAGAUCUGGAGAGAAAACAAUACGAAGUUGACCAUCCCGAACUACACGAAGAUGCUCGAAAACACUCUCCUGUAUUGCUUUUGCAUAAUCGAGGACAAUUUGACCAUUUCCAUUAAGAUAUUCACGCGGCAUAUCAACAUAAAGAAGCUCCUCCAAAGUGCCACUGUCAUAUUUGAUUUUAAAUAAUCUGGGCAGAACCUCAACAGUUGUCUCUGAAAGUGCAAACAGAGAGUGUGUUAGAAAAUCAAGAAUUUGACAUUUACUCUCUCUUCAUGUGUAAAUUUGUGCAACCUGGGACAUGUUAUAUUAAAACCUUUUCCCCACGUAGUCACAAGUUGUAUUCUUCAGCAAAGAAGACAAAUGAAAUUCUACUUAGAUUUCAGCUGCUUAGAAAUUAAAGAUAGAUAUUUGAUUCCUUCAGUAUAAACCAUUUAUUUCAUUGAUAGCCAAACUACUCAUUAAAAAGAGAUAAACUUUUGCACCAUGGAUGAAAAUAACAUAUUCUACAAGCUUUAUAACAUUCAGUUUCCUGUUGGAAGCAACUGCAAGGAGUCAUAGAAAAUAGACUUACUACCUUACAAUCACCGAUCAUUUUACUUUGAAUAGUACUACCGAUCUACUCCUUCCUUUUAUAUUCUUAAAACUUUUACAUAAGGGGGAUAGAAAAGUUAAAGAAGCAAAGCAAUAUUGCAUUACCUACAACUGAUUCAUAGUAUAAGAACGCUUCAUGGCAGUUCAAGUGCAAUCGAAGUAAAAGAAAUCUAUUAAUCCACCUGAGAGUGAUCUGAUAGGGAAGCCUAGUGUCUCUGAUGCAUUAAGACUCAGACAAAGAGCAGAGAUUGAAGAUGCAACUUAUCCUGAAUUCGUGCUCUAAAUGAAGCCUAUGCACCUAAAUAUGAUGCAUAUCCAAAGAGACAAUCACUAGGAAGGUAGCAUGCACUAGUUCACUUGGUAAAGUGUCUUCUUUCAUGCAAAGCAGGCCCGGAUAUUGAAUAAAGCAGGUAUCAGAAGUAUAUGUCAAAGGAUUGCAUUCAGAUGCAAAUUCUUUAUGUAUAAGCAGGAGAUGUGAGCUUUGCCACUAAUUGUUUGCCAAAGGACAGAAAACAAACAGACAUUGAAUCAUAAUAAUUUCCAAGAUUUUCCUACUAUCAAUAGAUGCAGAACUAGAUAAAACAUUAAUUAGGAAGCAAGGACCAUUUACAUAAAAUAUAGAAUACAUUCUUCACUUAAUGGCAAGAUGUACAUAGCUCCAUACUUAACAUGACAAAAUACAAUCAGCUACAAAAGCAGGAAUGAUUAAAUUACCAUAAAAUAUCAAGUUGAAGAGGUAAAAGACAUAACAUACCAAAACCACAACCUGGUUUGCGAUUGCAUAUUUCACAGUGCCAUAUAUCCUGCAAAAUCUGCAAUUAAAUUUCUAAUAUUUCCUCACAGUGGCAACACAUCAAAUCUUAGACUUUGCAGAGCAUUCUAGAAUGUAGGAACUAGAAAGUAUCAUUUUAUUUGGCCAAAAAUCCAAUGAGAUAAAAAAAAACAUUGGCAAACAAGAUCCUAGAAAACUCCUCUGUCAGUCUGCAAGAUACUACUAAAUUUUCUACAAUAAAAUUCAGCUUUCUCCAAGCAUAUAAAUUCAAAUCUUACUUAACAUCUAUAAGAAAAUUAGCAUCACAUCCCAACCCAACCUUCUAAAACUGUCAGCUUGAGAUCAUAUAAAGCAGUCCAAGAAUCAUAUAAAUUUUAGCACUAGACCUACGUAUCUCACAAGGAGAACCAAAUUCUUUGUACUUAUCCUUCAAUAAGGUCAGGGCUAUAAUGGAAGGUGCAGCACCUUAUCUGAUAGUUUUCUUCUUCUUUUUUCUGAGUCUCACUCCUCUCUAGAAUAGCAUAAGCUGUUGACAUUUUGCACCUCAAACAUACAAACAGUGUUCCUCGAAGACAUCAUUUAGCAAAGCUAGAAUUCCCAGGAGGGAGUGUGCCAAGGGUGCUCCAUGCCAACCACUGCCCCUCUCUCUUUCCUCUCACUAGGGACACUAAAGUGCAAGUCAAUUUUUUUAAACAACAUACCUGAGGAAAAACACCAUUAGUCUGCCGACUAUUUCCAUAUAACGAAUCACACCACCUUUUCUUUGAAUUAGGAGCAAAAUAUUCGGCAACAAAUUUUCGCCAGAAUUCAAUAUUGUUAUCCUAUAUCAACAACAUGUGUUACUACCAAGGAAAACAGCAAAACCACCAGAAGAACAAUUAAUCCCACAAGUGAAAUUAUCUUACAUUAGGCCUACACUGUUGCUGAUAUAUGUAUUGAGUCAAACGCCGAGCACAAGUGCCAGGUUCAUAAGCUGGUCUAACAGCAGAUCUUAUAGGCAAAUUCUGCUGCAGAAACUGUGGCUGUAGUUGAGGCCUUUGUUGAGGAAGUGAUUUCAACAAUUGGUGGUGAUAUUGCAUCUGCAAUAUACGCUGUUGUUGCAAAAGAUUCAUCUGUGCAAGAGCAGCUUGAGAAGACUGCCUGGACAAUUGGAGGAACUGCUGCUGCUGCUGCUGCUGUUGCUGUUGUUGUUGCUGUUGCUGCUGCUGCUGCAAAAGCAUUGCCUGAUCAGACUGUUGACGUUCCAACUUUACAGGUCCUACGCCUCUUCCAGCUUGGUUCUGUUGAGGCUCUAGCUUCACUGGUCCAAGAUUCCGGAAUGACUGCAACUGUUGCUGGGGACCAACCUGAUCAUUUAUAGUCUGAGGUUCCAACUUGACUGCACUUUUGCCCCCAAAUUCUCCUCGGGUUGAUUGAAAUUGCUGAAGUGAUUGACUCUGUGAAAGAGGGAACUGCUGCAUUGACUGCUGACCCUGAUGAAACUUUUGCGGCUCAAAUUGUCUAACUUGAGAUUGCUGUUGAUCUAACAUUUCAGGGUUUCCAGCAUAGUUUGCAAUUUGCUGAUUUGGAAUUUGGCCUGAUGACCCAAAAUUUGCAAUAUUUGAUGGUGUGAACGAUGAAGGAGGUGCAUUAAAACCAAUCUCAUUUGCUACAGCAGUGAGAGGAUCAGACUCAGCAGUGGCAUUAAAACCUCUCUGUUGCAAACCACUAGCACCAGAGAGAUCAGAGUUAGAACCCCCAUUUCCGAAAGUCUGAUUGUGAAGUGAUGAAACGUUUGCUGUGCUACCUAGCAAAUUCAUGUUAUACUGCACUCUUGGUGAGACAAGUGAUGAAAAUGUAGCUUGUUGAGGCAUUGAACCACCUUGAGAUCCCAAAAUAGCAGAAUUCGAUCGCAUAAGUGCCGGAGAACCAGAUUGAGCGCCACCAAUUGAAUUUCCAGGCCUAGAAGGUACCAUUUCCCAAGAAUUACUGCAACUGCUCAAAAAAUUCACCAAAAAGAACUACUACAUCUCGAAUUCACCAUACACAGAUAUCCUGUUGAGCCUCCCUGGGCACCUUGACAAAGAAAGGCCAUAAUUAUAUUCAACCAAGAAGCAAAACCGGGCCAUACUUAGAACUAGAUACUCCAGCUUGUCAACAUCUCAAAAGAGAAGUCACAACAGCUUCCAUUUGUGACUACUAAAACCUGAAACAUAGAAAAUAAAGCAUUAAUUGCAGGCAAGAAGAUAGACCUCUAUUAAAAAAAAUUUAGAACCAGUUCACAAAUAAGAAUUUCACUGAGAAGCUGAAACCAUUUAGUGAAAAUUCUAAUUAGAUUAGAACAAUUAAACCAUAGAACACAAAAUCACAAAACCAAAGCCAAAACCCACCAUCAAAUGAGUCGACUCAGUUUCGCACAAAUUUAUGGUUUAAGCAAACGUAAUUCUAUAAAAAGAGAAUGAAAGUAACAUGUACUAACUGAAAAUAUGAAAUGAAAGAAAACGCAAAUUCAAAACCAAAAUAUAUGAAGCCUUUUGUAAUCUAAAUAUGGUUGCAAACAAACUAAAGGAAAAAGAAAGAAAAUCCAUGGAUUUAAGGCUAAAAUUACAAUAUAAAUGUCUCUUAAAUUUGAUCCCUUUUUUCUCGUUCUGAAAUAAAAAGAAGAUAGCAACACCAACAACCACAAAAAAAAAAAAGUAGAAGUAUAUAAAAUGAAGCUGGAUAACAAUGAAAACCCACAUAUUAAGAAAAACACGCGGACACACACACACACACAAAAAUUCACAAACAAAUUGAAAACCCAAAGACUGAGAAGAGAAAAGAUAGAAGGAAAGUGAAGUACUCUUUGUUCUUCACUCAAACAAAGAAAAUCCACUGGCAAAAAGAAAAGGGAGAGAGAACUUACAAUGUGAAGUGGCACUGUUACUGAGAGGUAAAAGAAAUUUUUUUAUCAUUGCCUAUCCACAAAAAGAAAAAACCCAAAAAGAAACCAAACACAACUUCAAACAAAGCCGAAUAUAAUAUCUGGGGGAAAAAAAUAUUUUGUUUUUAAAAGUUCUUUCCCAUUGUAUUCGGAAGGAAAAUGCGAUAUUAAAAAUAUUAUCGUCAUCGUAUUUCAGUACAAUCUUUUAUUUAAUUUUCAAUAGUAUUUUAUGUUUUCCUUUGUUGGGUAUUUUAUUGCAGUCUCUGCUCUUUCCAUGCCUUUUCGUUUCACUGUUUUGCUUCGUUUAUUCAGAAAGAAGAGUAUUGAGGUUAUACGUGUGUUCUUCCGGACGUCAAAAUCCCUUCGAAUUGGAUUUAUUUUUUGCUUUUUAGGAUUUUUCUUAUUUUUAUAAUCGGGUAAAUUACACGAAGGUCACUUAAUUAUUAGUAACUUUAUAUUUUAGUCACUUAAUUUUAAAAAGUUACAAGUUGAUCAUUGAACUAUUAAUAAAUUUACAAGUUUAAACUUUAAUCACUCAAUCUUUGCAACAUUACUCCCUAACUCGAUAAUCCAAACAAUACUAACAACUCAAGCUCCAAACUUUAGCAAAGCCAUUAUCAACCCAUUCUCAAAUCAAAUUAACUAAGCAAGUUCUCCUUUCAGUCAAAAUCAUAACUAAAGAAAAUUAAUAAUCACCCUUGUCUCGAACCAACAACCAAAUAUCACCAUAAACAAAUAUGCCGGAAACAAAUAAACGAGGGAAGCAAGUUUCACGUUUCAACAAGACCCACAAAAGCAUAAGAACAAAAAAACUCAAAAUAUUAAAAAAUUCAAUUAGGAUCGGUUACUUGAAGAGUUCCAUGCAAUGAUGGUUGAAUCCAAACAAUUAUUAUUUUUAAUCUCACCACCCGCCCGAAGGAACACAUAAUUCAUGGCUUGGUUAUUGUCAUCACCGAGAGCCAUGCAGAACAAACGAAAUGGACUCAAACAAGGAAAGACAGACGGACUUUUGGACUAAAUCCAAAAACAAAAAUGGUUAUAAAUAGGAGCAAAAAGUUUCGAAAAGAAAAAACCCAAGACUUCUUCUACCAUGAGCUCAUGUAAAUAUUGAUAAAUCGUUAAAUAUUUUAAUAAAAAAAUUCUAAGCUUGUUUUUAGUGAAAUUCAUAUUUGAAGUUUUCAAAAUCCGAAUUUCCCCUUUCCCAUUUAACCAUUAGAGGACAUGCUUAACUCAAAUUCAGAAUAUAACAAUAUAACAUAGCACAUGCCAUGUUUAGAUGAAAUAAAGGGUUGAUUAAUAUAUGUAUUUCGGUAAUUUCAUAUCCAAAUGCAUUCAUUUGAAGUGGUGGAUCAUAUCAUUCAUUUACCUUCAAUAUAAUUCAUAAUAUACUUGAAACAUCUCACUUUUUAAGAUUACGAUAUAAAUUUUUCGAGAGUCAAAAUUAAAUAAAAUUUCACAAUUUUUAGAGGGGUUAAACUAUUAAUGUAUCGGUAUUGAAGAGUCGAAAAGUAACCUUAUCACCAUACUAACUUAAAAUAUUUAAAUUUUUUGAUGGAUAAAACGAAAUUUAUCAUUUAAAGAGGACCAAGUACAUGAUUAAUCAAAGUACCACUAUUCAUAUAAGAUGAUUUGGUAUCGCAAAUCAAAAAAUUAUUUUAUACAAUUGUCAUGUUAUUUAAAAAUAAAUAAUUUUGUAGAUAACUUUUACGUAUUUCCAUAAUCAAUUUAAUAAAUUCAAAAGGUAAAACGGUUUAAAAAAAGUUAUUUUAACAUUGUCUUUGAGAAAAUUUUUAGUUAAUAUUUUUUGAAAAACAUACUACAAUUUUUUAUUAAAAAUUUAUAGAAAUUUAAAACUAUUAACAUGGUGUUUUCAAAUUAUUUAAAAUUAUUUAUAUUUAUAAUUUUUUCCAAUAAAAUAGUUUUUUAAACUAAUUUAAAUUUAAAAUCCUAUAUAAAAUGUAUUUAAAAUAUUAUACAAAGAAUUAUGUUUAAAAUAAAAUUUAAGUAGUUUAAUAAAUAAUCAUUUUGAAUUCUUUUUAAAAAUUUAAACCAAUAUUCAUUUAAAAUAUCACAAUAAAAAUUACAAAAUAAUUAAAUUAUACAUAUAAUAUCCUCGAACUAUCAUUACUUGCUUAUAAUCGGCAUGCAUGCACGCUACAUAUACCAUCUAAUUUCCCUAUUUUUUAUAUUAUUUCUACUUAUAUUGUAAUUUACCACACUCGUAAGAUGAAAAUAAUAUUUAAAAUAUGAUUUCUAUAUUUUGAAAAGUAAUAUAUUGCGAUAACUUUUUAAUGAUGCUAAGUUACGGGGAAUAUAAUGGGUAACUUAAUCGAGAGUUUGAUUGCUAAGUGGGUAGUUUAGAAAAGUAACUCACUAAUUAUUUAUGAUUUUUUUCUAAUUAUUUAAUAAGUAAUUUUUUGUCGUCGUUCAUACAUAAUUUUGAUAUUUUUUACAUUGAAUCUUAAACUUUAAAUCUUAAAACCCAAACUCUAAACCCUAAACUUCGAAUAUUGAACAUUAAAUCCCAAACAUUGAAUUCUAAACAUCAAAUCUUGAACCAUAUAAUCCUAUAUAUUGAACCCCAAUCCCCAAAUCAUGAACCCUAAACCUAAGGAUACAGGGUUUGGGUUUCAGGUUCAGGGGCUAAGUUUAAGUUUUAGAUUUAAGAUUCAAGAUUCAGAAUUUAGGAUUCUGAGUUUGGGGUAAAAAAUUAUCAAAAUUUCGUGACAUGAAAAAAAUUACAAAAAUAUCAUUAAAUAAUUGAAAAGGAACCACAUAUAUUGUGAUGGGAAGGGUUCAUAAAAUAAUUUCUCGGCUUUGAAAAUGUUUUUCUAUAUAAUUAAAAUAUUUUGGUACUCACUUCGUUGAAAGUUUGAUGAAACACAAUUAACAAAUUUACAAUAAUAAGCAUUCAAAUAAAAUAUUAUAAUCGGGUAUCCAAAAACACGGAAAAAAAUAUACUAAUUAAACGCAUGGAAAAAAUAUAAUACAUUGAAAUGCCCAAAGUGGAAUCCUGAAGAAUGAACCAAAUAUUAAAAAAAAUAGAAAUAUUUGAUGCUAAAUAUUGCAAGGAAAAUGGCAGAUUCAAUGGUGCUACAAACUUAGGUAUUAGGAUCAAUCUAUCAAGUAAUAGAAAAUAAAUAAAGAAAAGUUGAGAUUAAAAAGUAUUAGGGGUCCAUUUGUAGUAAGAUAUUUUCUAGUUCGAUUUAAUUAUUGUGAACUGCUUCCAUACUGGAACAGAAUAAUUUAGAAAAGCUGCCUAAAUUAUGUGAUGCUUCUUUUUUUUAUUUAUUAGCAAAGUAUGUGAUGCUUUGGACCAAAAGAUUUAUUCUUUCAAAAUUAUUUUAAUGCUUUAAAAAAAAAGGGGGGGAAUGGCACAAAAUAAAGCUGCCAAUGAAAUUCUACUUCCAAAUCAAUUAAGAAUAAAAAGUUCACCUUUAAAAAAAAAUCAGUAAUGCUAUAAUCCAACACUGAUUCUACUUAGACAUACAAAAGGCUAAUUGGAAUUUGGAUGGAGUGGAAUUCUAGAUUUAAAAGUCAAAUAUAAUCAGUUUUCUUUGGUGACCAUGUCCGGCGAUGGAUAAGCUCGUCGUCGGAUUGAGAUGUGCUAUGCGGUGAUCCAGUCAAUUCAUGUUGGGAUGACCCAAUAUACUGUUGAAUUACUAGCACAGAUACGGUGGACGAAAAAUCCGACUCCGCUAGAAUAUCUCCGAUCGCACCGAGCCCCGGGCACUCACUCCAAUCGGUAAGGCCGGUUGUUAAUGGCGACAUCACGCCAUGUCCUCUCCCAACAAUGAGCAAAUCAUGGUAGUUGUCUAAUUUCCUAAUCGCUGCAACAGUUUCCUCGCUACUGUUUACCACAUUCUCAGUGUAUACGAUAGAUUCAUCAUCAUCAUUCUUGCUUCUGAAAUCGUUUAUGUAUUCAUCAUCAAGCCCAUUUUCCCAGCUGCUGGUUGCUUCCACUGUUAACACAUUCGGGUUGUCUGGGUCAUCAGUAGGCAGCAUCGUUGAGAGUGUUGCAUUGGCACCUGGAACGAAUCGUAGCACAGUGAGAGCAAUCCCUGGAUUUUCACACAUUCUCCACCCAUAAGCAAGAGCUUCUCUAUCGUCUGGACCACCGAAAAACAGCACACAAACUUGGCGAGACACUUCGUUUGCAGCAACCCGAGCUGACCCACUUACGCCUCGGUCGACUAAAAUGCCCACCGAGCAAGGCGCCUUGGCUAGUAAAUUCUGGUUAACUGAUCCGAACGCUGGGUUCGUCCCUUCCAUCCCUCCAUCCACCGUUUGUUGUUUAUGGAAAGGGAUGAUUACGAGGGAUACACGUUUGUCCUCGGCCACGCUACAUAUAUCUUCGUGAAUGGAGUUGAAAGGGGAAAUGGCCGUGAGUGGGUGAAUGGAGACAAAGCUCGAAUGUUGCUCAAAGCUUUCGAAAGCAUUGAUUAUGUUGUCCGAUUGAGCUUGAGUUCGGUUCUUCGCCGUGGGAACGUGUUUGGACUUGCGGGCGUUAUGGACGAUGAGCAUCCCUGAUGCAUGACCAGAGAGUUCAACGAGAUGAAGCACGUAGAUACAUAAUGUAGAUUUGGUGGUGGGGUUUGAGGCUUCAAGUAGGUUGAUUAUUGCGGGGACAUUGCGAUGGGUGUGGAUGCAUACAAGCAGUCGCAGCUCUCCAUCAUGCAGUGCUCGUUGAAGUGUUCGACGUUCAUAUGACACGGAACUCCUCGUUGGCUUGUACAUGGUUGCCACAAUGGGUGAUAUGAUGGCAGUCAUAACCACCGCUACAAUCACCAUGACUGAAAAUGAUUCAUCAUCUAAGACCUGCAAAUCAGUGUUUCUUUUUCAAUUGUUAUGAUGGAUCAACCGAUAAGGAGCUCUCAUUUCCUUAAAUAGUCAUGUUCAUAAUUUGUCAAAUGGACUCCUAAAAAGGAUAAUAUGGAACUGUGAGCAUGAAGUGGCUGAAGGAAUUAUGAGAGUGGCUUGCCGGUGUGACAUUGAUGAUCAAUGAAAGGGAAAACAUACAAGUACACUACCUUCCGAUCUUUGCCAAUGUUAAGAACAAUCAAUUCAACGAGGCCUUUGGCAUUCAUGAGUACUCCAAGUAUAAAUCCAUCAUUAUAUGGCAUCUGGAGAAACAUUGUUACAAGCAUAGUUCCGGCUAUCUUGCCAGCGCAAGAGAGGAAGGUAAUGAAUGCUAAGACGCCCCAUGUUCGACCGCUAUCGAUAGAAGCAAAAUUGGUCUUCAGCCCGCUGAUAGCAAAGAAGAGAGGGAGUAAAAGUCCGGAAACAAAGUCAUCAAGCUUUUCUAAUAAAACAACUCCAAGGGUGCCAUUGGGAAUUACGAGACCAAACACAAAAGCUCCAAAAACAGAAUGUGUCCCAAUGGCAUCCGUAAUGAAACCUGAGAUCAUCGCCCCCGUUAGAAUGACGCAUAUAGUAAAUUCGCUCAAGGGUUCCCCUUCUGAGGUUGUUCCAACCAUCCAUGUAAUUGCUGGCCUAACAAAAACAAUGCAAACCACAACGAAACCUACACAGGCAAGAAGCACCCAAAGCGAAGCAAAGGACUUUGCAUCAUUAUCCGCAGUUGCAAUGACAAAUGCUAAAAGAAUCCAAGCGCACAUGACGUUAAGAAGAGCCGAAGACAUUGCCAAUUUGCCGAUUUCUGAGUUAAUCAGUUUCAGUUCGAAGAGGAUUCGAGCUAGCACUGGAAACGCGGUGACCGAGAGUGUGACACCAAGCAAGAGGAUGUAGGUGGCUGUGUUUAGAGAUUUUGGUUUUCUCUCAUGAAGAACAAUAGUGAAACAGAUGCCAACUACAAAGGGCAAUAUCAUGCCGCCAAUAGCAACCGCCAAUGCCCUUUUGUUGUUCCAAUAGGGUCGGAAGCGUGUAAAUUAUUGUACUAAAAAAUCACACAAAGUUCAAUUCCCAGGGAAGAGAGGUGGAUCACAAGGAUCUCUUAAAUACCAAGUCUUUCCUUAGACAGAAUAUCCCUUCUAUAGUAAUUUAAUAGCACAAUUAAAUACUACUAUUAUACCCUCAAAUAUUGAAAGAAAAAUAGGACAAGAAAGAACACAAGAGUUUUAACGAGGUUCGGUAAAUUAUACCUACGUCCUCGGGCACUAACACCAGAUGAUAACUUUACUAUCUUCAAAGUAUUACAAACAAAUAGAAUUCCUUAAGAAUUCUCAAAUGGGAGAAGAGAGAAAACUAAGAGAGAAAGAUUGGUUGGGAUGAAUUGAAAUGAGAAAUGAGAAGGCCUAUUUAUAGUUGAGGUUUAAGGACCAAACAAUAAAUAGCCCAUUAUCUCAAGGACCAAAAAAAAAUUAUCCCAUGCCACUUUUUCAAAGUCAAAUUUAGGGUGCUAAACUUGCACCACUUUGUAUUGUUUGCCAUUAAUGUUGUCUCCCAUUAAUGUUAACAAUCUCCACCUUGAAGAUUUGAUUAGGAUAAUCACAUCUUCACACACUUCCUUCAACUCCCCAAAUUCGAUAAAGCUAUCUUUUGUAGUGCCUACAAAUGCACUCUCGGGCGCCAUACACCUGAAGGUGCUCAAAUUCUCAGGAUGUUAAUCAAGUUCAAACAAUGAUUAAACUUGAUUGUUGUUACCACCUUGGUCAUCAUAUCUGCGGGAUUAUCUGCUGUCGGAAUCUUCUGAAGUAGAAUUUUUCCUUUUUCAAAGACUUCCCGCACAAAGUGAUAUCUUACGUCGAUAUGCUUGGUUCUUGAAUGAUAGACUUGAUUUUUCGCUAAAUGAAUAGCGCUCUGACUGUCACAAUAUAAACUUAUGUGACUUUGAACAACUCCUAAGUCUUUCAACAAUCCAUUAAGCCAAAUAGCCUCCUUAACAGCUUCUGUAACUGCCAUAUAUUCUGCCUCUGUAGUAGACACAGCUACUGUAGACUGUAAGGUAGACUUCCAACUUAUUGGGGCUUUCGCAAGAGUAAACAGAUACCCCGUAGUUGAACGACGUUUAUCUAAAUCACCAGCAAAGUCGGAAUCAACAUAUCCAACUACAAACUGACCAAGUGCUUCAUCCUGUUCAAAAAUUAAACCAACAUCUACGGUUUUUCGAAGAUACCGUAGAAUCCAUUUCACAGCUUGCCAAUGUCCUUUUCCAGGAUCAUGCAUAUACCUGCUCACAACUCCAACAGCUUGUGAAAUGUCAGGCCUCGUACACACCAUCGCAUACAUCAAACUCCCAACUGCAUUAGCAUAUGGGACUUUCGCCAUAUAUUCUCUUUCAUAUUCAGUCUUCGGAGAUAAUUGAGCACUAAGUUUCAAAUGAGAAGCAAGUGGGGUACUUACAUGUUUUGUGUUUUCAUUUACACCAAAACAUUGUAAUACCUUUUUCAGAUAUUGCUUCUGAUUUAAACAGAGCUUGCCUCUCGGUCUAUCUCUACUUAUCUCCAUGCCGAGAAUCUUCUUGGCCUCACCUAGAUCUUUCAUCUCGAACUCUUGAUUCAACUGAGCCUUCAGCUUAUCUAUCUCAUUUUGGCUCUUCGAAGCGAUUAACAUAUCAUCAACAUACAAGAGUAGAUAAAUGAAAGAUCCGUCAUGCAGCUUCUGCAAAUAUACACAAUUGUCAUAUUUGCUUCUUGUGUACUUCUGCCUUCUCAUAAAGCUAUCAAAUCGCUUGUACCACUGCCUCGGGGAUUGCUUCAAUCCAUAUAGCGAUUUGUUAAGCUUACAAACCCAAUUUCUACCACCAGCAUCUGUGUAUCCUUCUGGCUGAGUCAUAUAGAUCUCCUCUUCUAACUCACCAUGCAAGAAAGCCGUCUUAACAUCAAGUUGAGCUAGCUCCAAAUUCAACUGUGCUACCAAGGCCAACAAAAUUCUAAUGGAGGAAUGCUUCACAACAGGGGAAAAUACAUCAUUGUAGUCAAUUCCCUCCUUCUGAGCGUAGCCUUUAGCUACCAAUCUUGCCUUGUAGCGAAUAUCCUUCUUGCUAGGAGAUCCAUCUUUCUUUGCGAAUACCCACUUGCAUCCGAUUGCCCUUUUACCUUUCGGUAAUUGCGCCAACUCCCAAGUAUUAUUCUUCCGGAGAGACUGCAUUUCUUCAUCCAUGGCGCUUUUCCAUUUAUCACUUUCUAAGCUUUGCAUUGCUUCUUGAUAAGUGAUAGGAAUAUCAUCAACAACGGGAAGGGCGUAGGCCACUAUAUCAGUAAAUCGAGCAGGUUUACGAAUUUCUCUCCGUGGCCUUGCAACUGCAACUGGUUCUGGUGUACUUAGUGGUUCUUGGGUCAGAACCUCUUCAACCUCUAAUUCCUCCAUUGUGGCUGGAGAAUUAGACUUAUUAACUGGGCAAAUCCCCAUCUGCUCAAACUCCACCUGUUUUGGAGUACACUCCACCUGCUGUGGAGUAUUGCUCGUCUGAAUAUCUUUAUCUGCUACCUUUUUCAAUGUGGUAGAUUCAUCAAAGGUAACAUCUCUGCUACAGAUCAUUUUCUUUGUGCUUAAGCACCAAAGACGAAAUCCCUUCACUCCAGAAGUGAUUCCCAUAAAGAGAGCUUUCUUUGCCCUCGGAUCUAACUUUGACUCCUUCACAUGGUAAUAUGCAGUGGUUCCAAACACAUGUAAGGAAUCAUAAUCUGUAGCCGGUUUUCCAGACCAUACCUCCAUAGGAGUUUUUCUUUCUAAUGCAGAUGAUGGCAAACGAUUAACAAGAUGGCCAGCGUAUGUCACAGCCUCAGCCCAAAAUUGCUUGCCCAACCCAGCAUUGGACAACAUACAUCGAACUUUCUCCAGCAAUGUUCGAUUCAUACGCUCUGCCAAUCCAUUCUGCUGUGGUGUAUCCCUAACUGUGAAGUGUCGAACAAUACCAUACUCUUGGCACACAUCGAAGAACGGAUCACUUUUAUAUUCCCCUCCAUUGUCCGUCCUAAGCCGCUUGAUUUUCUUGCCAGUCUGGUUUUCGAUCAUAGUUUUCCAUUUAAGAAAAACUCCAAGCACUUCAUCUUUAGUUUUCAUGGUAUACACCCAAACUCUUCUGGAAAAGUCAUCAACAAAAGUAACAAAGUAGUGUUUUCCUCCCAAUGAAGGUGUUUUGGAAGGCCCCCACACAUCUGAGUGAAUAUAUUCCAAAAUACCUUUUGUAUUAUGGAUAGCAGUGCCGAAUUUCACUCUCUUUUGCUUUCCCAGAACACAGUGCUCACAAAAUUUUAAUUUGCAAGCCUUUACACCUUUCAACAAUCCUUGCUUUGCCAGAAUUUGCAAGGAUUUUUCGCUGGCAUGUCCCAACUUCAUAUGCCACAACUGCAUUGAGUCCAAGUCUUUGUUACCGGAAGCUGCAGCGACUGCUCCAAUAACUGUACUACCUUGGUAGUAAUACAAGUUAUUUUUCCUGAUGCCCUUCAAUAUCACAAGUGCGCCAGAUGUCACUUUCAAAACCCCAUCUCUCAUAGUAACAACUGAACCAUUGGAUUCCAAGGCUCCCAAUGAGAUGAGAUUUUUCUUCAAACUGGGCACGUACCGAACAUCAGUCAGAACUCUGGUUGAUCCAUCUUUAUUCUUUAAUUGGAUUGAACCUAUCCCAACAGUUUUACAGGCAUUGUCAUUGCCCAUAUAAACAACUCCUCCAUUUAGUUCUACUAAAUCAGAGAACCACUCCCGGUUAGGGGACAUAUGAUAGGUACAACCCGAAUCCAAUAUCCACUCAUCUGAAUGGAACGACGAUGAUGAUGCAACCAGUGAUAGUUCAGAGUCACUAGUAUCAUGCUUAGCAACACAAGCAUCUACAGCAGCUUUUCCCUUAUUCUUCAGCUUUGGACAAUUUUUCUUCCAGUGGCCUUUCUCAUGACAAAAAGCACAUUCAUCUUUCCCGAGUCUGGACUUUGACUUUGAUCUCCCCUUUUGAGUUUUCUUCCGAGUGUAUGAACGACCUCGGACUAGUAAAGCUUCUGUAUCUCUGAUUGAGUUUUUCUGUUUGUCCUUCUUUCUCUGUUCAUAACUGUAUAAGGCCGCACAGACUUCGCUCAGAGAUAUAUCACUCCUGCCAUGAAGUAGAGUAGUUUCUAGGAACUCAAACUCCUCAGGAAGUGACCCCAACAGCAUCAAAGCCAAAUCUUCAUCUUUGAAUGUCUCAUCCAUAUUCAGCAAAUCAGUGACUAACUGAUUAAAUUUGGUGAUGUGAUCAUUCAUUGUGGUACUUGGGACGUAUGUGAAGCGAAACAGUCUUUUCUUCAAGUGGAGCUUAUUUUGACUGUUUUUCUUCAAAAAUUUUUCUUCAAGUGCCACCCACAACUUAUUUGCAGAAGUCUCAUUUGAAAAAGCAUACCUCUGCUCUCGAGAAAGGCAUGAUCGAAUUGUGCCACAUGCCAACCGAUUGAUCGCCUUCCAAUCUUUCUCCUGUACAUCAUCUGGUUUCUCUUCAUCAAUGGCAAUGUCUAGACCCUGCUGAAAAAGGGCAUCUAGAACCUCACUUUGCCACAUACCAAAAUGGCCCGUGCCAUCAAAGAUCUCCACGGCCAAUCUUGCAUUUGCAAUUGUCGGUCUUGUCCACAUGGACGAUGUUGAAGCUCCUACACCGACCGUUUUCUCCAUAAUCUUUCAAUAUACCUAAGGAAAUCUUUUCUGAUGUGGAAGAUCAGUUCAAACUGCAACCACAGAGCAUACUACGAUUAACCUUCGGCUCUGAUACCACUUGUUGUUCCAAUAGGGUCGGAAGCGUGUAAAUUAUUGUACUAAAAAAUCACACAAAGUUCAAUUCCCAGGGAAGAGAGGUGGAUCACAAGGAUCUCUUAAAUACCAAGUCUUUCCUUAGACAGAAUAUCCCUUCUAUAGUAAUUUAAUAGCACAAUUAAAUACUACUAUUAUACCCUCAAAUAUUGAAAGAAAAAUAGGACAAGAAAGAACACAAGAGUUUUAACGAGGUUCGGUAAAUUAUACCUACGUCCUCGGGCACUAACACCAGAUGAUAACUUUACUAUCUUCAAAGUAUUACAAACAAAUAGAAUUCCUUAAGAAUUCUCAAAUGGGAGAAGAGAGAAAACUAAGAGAGAAAGAUUGGUUGGGAUGAAUUGAAAUGAGAAAUGAGAAGGCCUAUUUAUAGUUGAGGUUUAAGGACCAAACAAUAAAUAGCCCAUUAUCUCAAGGACCAAAAAAAAAUUAUCCCAUGCCACUUUUUCAAAGUCAAAUUUAGGGUGCUAAACUUGCACCACUUUGUAUUGUUUGCCAUUAAUGUUGUCUCCCAUUAAUGUUAACACCUUUUUCCUGUCUUACGAAGCACUGUUAGGUCCAUUUCCACACCAACGAGGAAGAGGAAGUAAACCAGACCAACGUUUGCCAUUGUUUCAAGCACCAUCACACUCCUUGAGGGAAAAAUUGUGCUGGCAAAUCCUUGAACCCGUCCUAGCACCGAUGGACCUAAUAUUACUCCGCCCUGUUCAAAUCAAGUUAAAGUUAAACAUAACCAAUGCAAUAUCUAGGAUGCAUUUGAGCGGUGGAACUUGAAGUAACCUACGAGAAUCUCGGAAACGACUCGAGGUUGGCGCAGGGGUUUGAGGACGAACACCAUGAUGCGAGUGGUGGCAACGACGAUUGUCAUCUGCAAGAUGACAAGAGGAAUGGAAUAAUCCAAAGGGUUGUCACCUUUCCAUAUACCCUUUGCAGUUACCAUUUUCGGUGAAUAGCAAACUAUCAAAUCUUCUGCUCUAGUCGUCGCCAUUGCCAUUCUUUCUUUUUUUUCUUGCCUUUAAUUUGCUGGUCUUGCACCGUGAAAACCCUACACUUUUUUCAAUUCAUAUAUCCGACUAUUAUACAUGCACACUAUGUGUUUAUUAUUUCCACUAUUGGUUAUGGUUUUUCAUUUCAAAAAAAUUAUUUCCUAAUUCUUUUAGCUGUACAAAGCAAUGACUUUGGGUUUUUCCUUUUUUGAAUUUCCUUGUUGCAGAGAAGAAAGGAAGCUGGGAGAAUAGGAGAGAAAUUAGACGGUUGCCCGCCCCAUUUGGUGAAAUGUCUUUACCUUCUAUGGUCUACAAAGCCCUCUAUUUUUAGAACAAUUUUAUACCACAACGUACCCUCGCCAAGUAAAAUCAAUUAAUGCCUCUCACUUUAUGAUCCCUCUUAAAUCAGUCCUCGACAUAGUUAAAUCCGCUCGAAAAGAUUUUGAUUUCAAAUUAUCAAAUGAAUACAAAAUCAAAAUAUUUAUAUACACCAACUUUUAUCACUGUCAAUAUAUAUAUUGAUAUUUAGAAGAUAUUUAGGAUAAUUUUUUAAAACUUGUUGAGUAAUUUUUGUCUUGUAUCUUAUUAAUAGGAGUCUUCAGGUAUUUAAACUGCAACUCGCAACCUGACCUAGAGGUGUGCAUGGGCCAGGUCGGGCUCAACUAUAAAUUUAGGCCCAUUUGCUAGGCUCGAGCCUUGCCCAGCCCGAAAAAUGGGCCUAAAAUUUUGUCCAAGCCUAAUCUAGAUAAAAAUGUUAAAACCAGGGCGAGACUCGACCCGCCCAUAUUAAUUUUUAUAUUAUUUUUUAAAUACUUUUAAAAUAUAUAUAAUACAUCAAAAAUACUAAAAACAUCAAAAUAAAUAUUUUCCAACAAAUUGAAAAUAAAUUUUAAAAAAUAUAUAUACUUAAAUAACACUAAGAUAGAUACAACUUAACAAGUAAAUGCCUCUAAAAUAAUAACAAAAUUAACAAAUGUCUUUAAAAUAAUAACAAAAUUAACAAUAAAAUAAGUUUUAUACAAUAUCCAAACAAUAACAACAAAAUAGGAGUAGCAACAUAAUAGUAAAAUGGUCGCAAUAUAGGAAGAAAAUAACAAGGAAAUAAUAUUAAAAAACAAAAAACAAAACAGAUUUUUUUGUCCUUUAGUGAAUUCGGGCGCCCCGGGCCAAAAAUGCCUUACCUGAGGCCCGACCCGUUUCUUAAACGGACCUUAUUUUUUUGUCCAAGCCCAUUUUUCGGGCCUAUAUUUUUACCCAAAUCCUCUCACAUUUCAGGAGAGCCUUCGGGUUGGGUCGGGUGGCUCGACCCAUGAGAAGGUCUAACCUGACCUCACUAUUUUAUCUUAACUCCAUCGUUCCUAGGACUGACAUUUCGUGCGGGCUCCAGGCCUACUGGACAUGUGUUUCAUUAUGGGUUGCCUGCAAACCACGUAAUCUCCGUUCUGUGAGCACCUUGGGCCUUUAGCGAGCACCUUGGGGGUAUAUGCGAACUUGGCUUGUGAUCCUUCCUCGGUUUGUGCGAGCUGGACCCACGAGCUAGAUCAGCGGACUCCCUUGUUGUCCUCUCGUGGUUCGCCUCGCACUCGAUCGUUUGGUGGAACCUAUUCAGGUCGCGGGUGAUAAACACGGGUCUUAUCUAGGGCUCGGGUUGGUUAUUACUGAUGUAUAACAAAACUAAUGGUAAUUUUUUUAAGAGAGUGUUUUUUAAAUGAGAUAAUUUUUUUAAAUAUUAGUUUAAGUUAUUUUAUUUAAGCAUAAUGAUAAAUUUAGCCCUCGAUGUUUACAUAGUUUGAGUUACAUGUUAGUAAUAUACUUUUUUAUGAAAGAAUAUGUAAUAGUUAUCAUGAAAUAAAAUAAAAUAAUAUUAAGUGAACGAAAUUAAUUUAAAGAGAUAAAAUAUAUCUUAUGAAGGUAACACACAAAUAACAAGGUCAUUAGACCAGCAUAAUUAUAAGUUGUUUUUGUAAUAGUAUAUAAUAAAGGAGAGUUCGAUUAUGGUACUUUUAAUGGAUUGACUUCAUGACUAAACAAUAUUGUAAUUAAUAAAAGAAAAGUUAGAACUUAAUUACAAAUUAUUUGAGCCCUAGUCAUAUAUAUGUUCAAUCGAUCCUUUCAUUAGCUCAACACAAUCCUAUACAAAUCAAUACGUUAAUGAAAACGACGAAUAGAGAAAUAUAUUGCAUGUAUCACUAUCUGCAAUGAAUGCAUUUUUUCGCAAAUAAAAAAUAAAAAAUGAUUUAGUAAUUAAUUUAAUUUCUUUGAAGGGUUAUAUAAUUGAAGUUCAAAAUGAAUUUUUUUUCUUAUUUAAAUAAAAUUUCUUGAUUUUUUCUCAUUUAAUUAAUUUUAUGCUUUCAUUACUUUCUUUCCCCCCUUUUCUCCUCUCCUUUAAUCUUUUCUCAUUUAAAAAUUUGACCUAACUCCAAAAUUCGUACAGUGAUUGUCUAGUUACAACAAUACGGAUUUUUAUAAAAUAUUUAAAAAUCAAUCUUAAUUUAAAACAAGUAAUCAAAAUUAAAAUAACUCUCACUAAACCACAAAUUCAAAAUAAUAAAAUCUACAACUUUUUUAUUUUUCAGUGACUAAUUCUUAUAUUUCAUGUCAUUUACUUUAAUUAUAUUCCCUUAAAUAUUUGUUGUUUUUUGGCCUAAAUUUGUAACAUAUUUCCUCAAAUUGGUAUAUUUAGUAGAGGACAAGAUGUGAGGAAAAUAAUUGCUUAAAACAAAUGUUGUCACUUCUAUUAAAUUUUACAUGAUUUUUCUAGUUAUUUGUCAUUUCAUUUCAUUUUUCAUAUUUAUAACAAUUCAUCGUAAUAAUUAUUAAAUAUUAAAUAAGUUGUAACUUGAUGAUGAUAAUUAAUUUGCAAAUCAAAUAUUUAUUAUAAAUUUAAAUAUUUUUAUUAAUUUUAAAAUAAUUUUAAUAAUUUUAUAAUUAUUAUAAUUAUUUGAAAAACUACAUUCAAAUUCAAAUAAUUACUAAACAUUAAAUUUUUUUUUUUAAGGAUUGCUUUGCCAUGUCAAUUUGAGGUAGCCUACUUGCUCCACCAGCCAUGUCAUCGAUUAAUUGUAGAAUUGGAUGUAAUUUUUAACGAAAUGACCAAUUUUUUGUUUGAUCUAACAUAUAGGGGCUAAUUUGUCUAUUUUUUUAGUAAAGGAGACAAAAUGCCAUCUAAGUCUUAGCAUAAGGGCCUCCAUGAUAUUUUUACCCUUAAUAAUAGAAAGGGUAAACAAUAGAAAUAAUCAUUCAACUAUAAGCGUGCUUUUAUUUUGAUCACCCACGUUUAAAAUUUUUUAUUUUAGUCACUAACAUUAUCAAAAAAUAAUAUUCUGGUCACUGUUUUGUUAAAUCACUAAUGAAAUAUUGUAUGACUUUUUUUAUUAGCAUAAUAACAAAUUUAGCCCUCCAAUAUUUACAGAUUUUAUAUAUUUUGUCUCAUUUCUAAAAUAAAAAAUCAACAAAUUCAACUCUCAACUUUACAUAUUCUAUAUAUUAAUUUAGUCUUGAUUAUUAAAAAAAUUAAAAUUAAAAAUUAAAAAAACUUUAAAAACAUUUAAAAAUUUUAAUUUUUGAUAAAAAUACAUAACGUUUUAUAAAUAUAUAUACAGAAUUAUACAAAUAUGUAUAAAUAAUUGAAAACCUAUAUUCUCAUGUUCUAACAUUAUAUCUAUUUAUUAAAACAAUAAUUUUAUAAAUAAAAUAAUUUAAGGAAAAAAAAUGAAAAAGACUUAGGUAGAGGUUGGGUUAACAUUAACGACUACCAACUUUAUAUUAGGUCAAAAAUUACAGCAUGAGGUAGAAAAGAGUAAGAAUUGAUGUUUUUAAAUUGUUGCUCAUAACAAGUUUGUUGCAUUUGAAGUUGUGCUUGCAAGCAAAAUUGGAAAUAUAUAAGUGAGGAUGUAUUGGAGACCUGAUAGGUGAAAGGCCAUGUUGAUAGUUCCACAACCGAUUUAUAGUUUGAUGACAUGAAAAUCGAGAAAUUCAAAAUAAGGGUAAAAUUGGUGCCAUUGGUUGUGGGCGAAGGUGAUGCCUAGCGCUCGACAGAUUUGACGAGGACUAAGGAAUAAAGGCAAACACAUGAUAAAUAAAUUAUUAUUUAUAAAAUAAAACUAAAAAAAUGAAAAUUUUGAAUAUAGUUUAAGUACUUUUUUAAUAUUUUAUUUAUAAAAUUAUUAUUUUAAUAAAUAAAUUUAAUGUUAAAAAUAAGGUAUUCAUUUAUUUAUAAUUUUAUAUGUGUUUUUAAAGUUUUUUUUGAAUUUUUAAGAAUUAAGACUAAAUUGAUAGAAUGUGUAAAGUUAAGGGUUAAAUUUGUUAAAUUUUUAAAAUUAAGACCAAAUUGAUAGAAUUAAUAAACAUUAGAGAGCUAAAUUUAAUAUUAUAUCAAUAAAAAAAGUUACACCCAACAUUCCACUAAUGAUCAAUAAAAAAAAUGUUACACUCAACAUUCCACUAAUGAUCUAAUGGAUAAUGGAUAAGUCACCAAAAUAUUAAUCUAUGAUAGCACUAGUGACUAAAAUAAAAGUUUUAAUAUCGAAAUGGCUAAAAUAUACUUAAAAAAAAGUUUUUCCUAAUAUAAAAGAGCAUGUAUUAUUAUUAUUAUUAUUAUUUUUUGAAAAUUGUUGAGAGGAAACAAAGGGAGCCUAAUUAACCCACUAUUUUCGCGGGCAUUCCGCUUCCCAUUUCCUUUCCCGUGGCCGACUCUUUCUCUUAGUGUAUUAAUUGCUUGGCUCACAACUCCCCUCUUCCCCUUUUUAUCUCUCAUUUGUUUUUGCUUUGAAUAUAUAAUCUCUAAAUUUUACACUAUUAAACCAAGUAGAAAGGAAGGAAGAAAAAACUCUUAAUUCCAGCGUUAGCUAAAAGCUGGAAUUCUCUGUUAUAUGUAUAUAAAUACAAAAGAAAUAAAGCAGCAUCAUUCUGCCAUUGCUUAAUGCAGAAACAAUCAAUAACGACUUUUAAAGCUCUCUUCUUUGCUUCAGAUCUUUCCAUUUUUGUUUUCAGGUAUAUUUCUUUUGUUUCCGAGUUAGAUUUCUUUGUUUUGUUGUUGAUCUAGUGUAAUAAGAGUCUUGAACUUGUAUCGGCUUAUCUCUUCCAUCUGUGCUGAGCUAAAUUUUGAACAAUUUUUUAUAUGAUAUCAAUUGUUGUUUAUUGGUUCAAAAUUAUUAUAUUUAUUUAGAAAAAAAUUAUUUUAAAAUGUGAUAACGGUUUCUUUCUUGUUUUCCAAGGCAUAGAUUGUUUUCCUAGAUCUUGAUGUUCGAACAAUAUAAUUCUGGCAAUUUCAAUUAUAUGAUCCGUUGCUAUAUUCACACACACACACAUAUAUAUAUGAAGAGGGGUAUACCUGCACUUGUAUAAAUUUAGAUUUAAUAUUUUUUAGUGUAUGCGAGUAAAACUUAAUUUAGUUUUACUAUAAGUGGAUUUAUUUGAAUUUCUUAGAUAUGUUGCAUUUUUCAAUGAUGUAUUAGCCUAGUUAUGAUGUUUGUUUUCAUAAACAUUUCAGGUUUGUUUUUUUGAAGAUUUGAUUGGAAAAGGAAGGAAAUAGUUACCAUGGCUUUAGGAAGAUACAAUAGGGUAGAUAAUAAAAACAAUAAGUCUUCGAGUUAUUGUUCCACCGUCACCAUUGUGAUUUUCAUGGGAUUAUGUUUGGUUGGGAUUUGGAUGAUAACUUCGUCCUGGGUUGUCCCGGUCCAAAACGGGGAUGAUCCGGCUGAAGAAAAGAAAAAUCAGCUCAAGGAUCAGGUUGAGACGGUAAUCGUGGAUAGCAAUGACAGAGACAAUAAGCCGCAGUUUGAAGAUAAGCCUAAUGAUCUACGUAAAGAUGGCCCGGAAAAGAAUUUAAACGUGAGUCUGGCUAAAGAUAAGGGCAAAGCCAACUUAGCUGCAGACGAAAAUCAGGAGAAAACUGAAGAGGCUAAGUGGGACAAGUCUAAGAAGGAUAAUCAGCAAUUCAAUUCUGUAGGUGGAGAGAAAAACGUUUACAACAGUGAGAAUCUGGGUGGACAAGGGUCUGAAAACAACAAUGAGAAACCUCAUUCUAUUAAGGAUGACAAGAAAUCUGGUUCUGAUUAUGCUGAAAAGAAAGGAGAUGAAAGCACUUCCAGGACUUACGGGGAUAAGGUUGAUAAAAAUGAUGACAAGGUGUCGGAUAAACGCUCAGCUGAUCAGGUGAAAAAGAAGAGUUCAAAUGAAGAUUCCCCAAAAGGAGAUAAGGUGUUUGAUAAAAGCUUUGUUGAUCAGGUGAAAAAGAGCUCAAAUGAAGUUUUCCCUAAAGGGGAUAAGGUUGACAAAAAUAAUGACAAUGGGUUCGAUAAAAGCUCUGAUAGUCAAGUGAAAAAGAGUUCAAAUGAAGAUGCCCCAAAAGGAGAUAAGGUGUUUGAUAAAAGCUUUGAUGAUCAGGUGAAAAAGAGAUCAAAUGAAGUUUUCCCUAAAGGGGAUAAGGUUGACAAAAAUAAUGACAAUGGGUUCGAUAAAAGCUCUGAUAGUCAAGUGAAAAAGAGUUCAAAUGAAGAUGCCCCAAAAGAAGAUAAGGUGUUUGAUAAAAGCUUUGAUGAUCAGGUGAAAAAGAGAUCAAAUGAAGUUUUCCCUAAAGGGGAUAAGGUUGACAAAAAUAAUGACAAUGUGUUCGAUAAAAGCUCUGAUAGUCAAGUGAAAAAGAGCUCAAAUGAAGUUUUCCCAUCUGUUGCUCAAUCUGAGCUUUUGAAUGAAACCAUGAUUCAGAAUGGAUCAUUCACUACUCAAGCGGCAGAAUCAAAUAAAGAAAAAAAUGCUGAGUCAUCAUCAAACUCAUCAUCAAAGGAUUACAGUUGGAAGCUUUGCAAUUCCACUGUCGGGCCUGAUUUUAUCCCAUGCCUUGACAAUUGUGAAGCCAUCAGGAAUCUUCCUACUAAUAUACAUUAUGAGCAUCGAGAAAGGCACUGUCCAGAAGUGCCACCAACCUGCCUUGUUCCUCUUCCUGAAGGAUACAAAUUCCCAAUAGAGUGGCCGAAAAGUAGGGACAAGGUACUUGAACUUAACAUGUGCUGGUUUAAGUUUUCACUUUGGUUUUGUGCCUGAUAAGAUGAAUUAACAAAAGCUUUCCUCCUUCAGAUUUGGUACAAAAAUGUUCCCCACUCCAAACUAGUAGAAUUUAAGGGGGGUCAGAAUUGGUUGAAAUUUACUGGGGAUUACUUAACAUUUCCAGGUGGUGGAACCCAGUUUAGGAGAGGUGCACUUCAUUAUAUCGACUUUAUACAACAGGUGAGUGCUCGAAGUGAACGUAUAUCUUUGAAUUUCUUUAUUAUAUCAUAUAUAUAAUUUAUUACUGUGUCUCACUCCUUCCGGUGUGGUCACUACUUGUUGAAUAUUCAUUCUUGUCUUUCUAUUUGUUAACUAUUAUUACAGUGGUAAACUUAUACAUAUAACACAUGAUAAAAGCUUUGAUAUGAAUGUCAUUUGAUCUGAAGCUAUAGCUUAAAAUGACAUUUCAGUACCUUACAGUGAAACACAAUAGCUAUUGUUUAUCAGUUCCUUUGAUUUCCAUUAUGAGCCAACCGUGAUUGUUUUGAUAGUAAUGAAUUCUACGAAAACAACAUAUCAUCCAUGUCAAUAUUAUGCUUACCUAUAAUGCAUUGGCUUAAAAUUUGUGUUACAACCAAACUGUUCAUUAAGGCCUAUUGAGAUUUUAAUGAGUGCAUAUUUCCUAAUAAGUUAAUACUUCCUGUAAUUACAAGUUGUAGAAAAAGCCUAUCUACCGUAAAAGAAGCAAUUUAGUGGAUUUUAACUUAGAAAUUAACCCUAUAGGCAGCUAGCAGAGGCAAACAUAAUGAGUACUUCCAAGCAGAUUUUUAUUUUAAUAGGUAUGUUAAAACUACAAUUUUACAGUCCAUGAAAGAGGUCAUGAGCUUAUACUUGAAGCCUUUCCUGGAUGUGAAAUUUUUUGUUUUUAUUGGAGCAUUUCUUCCAAUAAGUUGAAAUUGAUUCAUCAAAUCUUCAUUUUUAAUUGCUCAUUAAUUCUAGUAGGGAUUGGAGUAUUCAUGAAUAAGUUUUAGUUAACAGGCAUGCCCGUAAGGAGCGUCAAGAAGUUCAUAGUAUCUCAAUUCAGGACACAUGUUGAUAUAUGUUUUAAUGUAUGCUUAUGUGUGCAUAUGAUAUAUCUUUUUCAUUUCUCUCGAGGCGCUCAUCCGCAACUUUGAUUGCGUGAAUCUUUCUACAAAUAUUUUAUGCUUUAAAAGAAUGUUUGUUUACCACGUCUGGAAUUACCUGUUGCAUUCCGAUAAUACAAUAAGCAAAAAAUUACUUUUAUUCAUGGUCAAUAUUUUCCUCUCCUGCAUGUUAUAUCAACUUGCGCUUGGUGUUUGAUUAUUCAUGCAGGCUGUACCUGAUAUAGCAUGGGGAAAACGCUCUCGUGUAAUAUUGGACGUCGGAUGUGGGGUUGCCAGCUUUGGAGGUUAUCUUUUUGAAAGAAAUGUGCUGGCCAUGUCCCUAGCACCAAAAGAUGAACAUGAAGCUCAAGUACAAUUUGCACUUGAAAGGGGCAUUCCUGCUGUGUCUGCUGUGAUGGGUACUAAAAGACUUCCCUACCCUGGCACUGUAUUUGAUAUUAUUCAUUGUGCACGAUGUAGAGUGCCAUGGCACAUAGAAGGUAUAUUACAACCUACUUCACAAAAUUUUAAUUAUGAGCUUAUCAUGCCAUGCAUUUUAUGGGAUUGGCUGUGCUUGAAUAUUUGUUGGUCUUAGCAAUAUGCAGGUGGUAAACUCCUCUUGGAGCUCAAUCGUUUGCUGCGACCCGGUGGUUUCUUUUUGUGGUCUGCUACUCCUGUUUAUCAGUUAAAAGCUCAAGAUGUUGAAAUCUGGAAGGGUAUAUAAUUCGAUUGUACCGUCUUUGGCCUUGUAUGAGAACUAUUUUGUGUCUUACUGCUGCUUAAUUUAUGUGUGGAUUUUGUGCAGCUAUGAUUGAACAAACAAAAGCUAUGUGCUGGGAGCUUGUAAACAAAACUUCUAAAGAACCAAUAAAUAAGGUGGCCAUAGCAACAUUUAGAAAGCCUACAUCUAAUGAGUGCUAUGAGCAAAGGUCACAACAAGAACCUCCACUAUGUCCCGAGUCCGAUGAUCCAAACGCGGCUUGGUAAUACUUUUUUUCCCUCUAACUUGGAUGUAAAAACUAUAUUCCGGCUAAAACUAUUCUAGCACUACUUUAUAUGAUGACACCAGAAAUAUCCACUGAACAGUAAACAAGAUAACAUGCAUUCUUUGAGUAAGCUACGGAAAUACUCUUUUUCUAAACUCAGCACAACUAUCUGAUUGACCUGUAGGAACAAAACGCAUAUUACUUAUCCAAAGAAUCUCGUUGCUCUUUCCACUGGUACUUUAGAAUAAAUAUGGAUCUCUUGCAAUAUAGCUAUCCAAAGAGCCAUUCGUUUUGUUUCUUAUCGACAGGAAUGUGCCACUUCAAACAUGCAUGCACAAAGUGCCUCUAGAUCCAUCAGAACGUGGGUCUAAGUGGCCUGAGGAAUGGCCAGCAAGGUUGGAAAAAUCACCUUACUGGUUGUUGAGUUCCCAAGUUGGAGUUUAUGGCAAAGCAGCACCAGAAGAUCUUGCUGCAGACAAUGAGCAUUGGAAACAGGUGGUAACCAAGUCAUACAUGCAAGGAAUGGGAAUAAAUUGGUCAUCAGUCAGAAAUGUCAUGGACAUGAAAGCUGUUUAUGGAGGGUAAGCAACAAUUUCCAUUUUCUCUAUGAAGUAGGAAGGAAAUAACGGUUUGACAGGCUUCCCUUUUAGUUAUUCUGACUGUGGUAUGCGCACAGAUUUGCUGCGGCACUCAAAGAUAUGAAUUUAUGGGUCAUGAAUGUGAUCCCAGUUGACUCUCCAGAUACACUUCCCAUAAUUUAUGAAAGAGGUCUGUUUGGCAUAUAUCAUGAUUGGUGUGAAUCAUUUAGCACCUAUCCAAGAUCUUACGAUCUUCUCCAUGCCGACCAUAUAUUCUCCAGGGUUAAAAAGAGGUUUGUAUUUUUCAUAUUUCUUUGAGUCAUAGUUCCAUAACCUGUUCUUUUAAUAAAUAAAAAUUCCAUUUACCUUUUCAUCAUGUAUGGUUUAGAACCAGAAUCCCUGUUUCCAGUGUAAGCCAUAAUAUGCUAUUAAUCAUCUGCUUCACCCUUUAACUUUGCCAUUGUUUACGAGCACGUAGGUGCAAUUUCGUGGCUGUGGUUGCCGAGGUGGAUCGUAUUUUAAGACCGGGAGGAAAGCUUAUUGCUCGGGAUGAUGUCGAAACCAUUACCGAGCUGGAGAAUAUGGUACGGUCCAUGCAUUGGGAAGUCCGGUUGAGUUACUCUAAGGACAAGGAAGGCUUGCUGUGUGUCCAGAAAUCCAUGUGGCGACCUACAGAGGUGGAGACGCUCACAUAUGCCAUUGCUUAGGCAUGCUAUCUCCUAUCAUCACAUUCUCAUUUUUGCCACAUUUUGCAAUUUUUGGGGAUUAGUUCUCUAUGUUAUAGCCUUUGUAGGCUUGUAUCAUGUAGGCCUUUAGUUUAUUAUUUUUUAUUUUAUUUUAUUCCUUUAAACUCUGAGCUUGGCGUUUCCAAGUUUUCCUGUAAUAUCAUACUGUGAGUUCUUCAAUGGAAAAUAAUGUUCAGGCAUUAUGGCUGGAACAUUUAUAGAAACUAAAUCUGGCAAUAAUGUUACAAAAACCACUACUAAUUAAAGAUAUUAAAAUAUACGAUCAAUUAAAUGAUAAAAAGCAAUACAAAUACAAAAUCUUUGAAAUUUCAAUACUGGAAAAUUUUAAGCUUAAAUUCAAGAGCUUAUAAGAAACAAGAACGAAAAUGGAAAUAUGAUUCAUUGUUACAAUGUUUAACCACCAUAUAUUAUGAACAGCGUUAAAAAAAAAAGAGAUUAUAAAAGAAAUUAUUAUUAUUAUUAUCUUUUUACUAUUUUCUUUAGUCGCUCUUUCCUUUCUUUAUAUUUAAUCUUUUAAAUUAUUUUUGUAACACUUCAUAAGUCCAUUUCUUGCAUUGCCAUAUGUCUCAGCUAAGGUAGGGUAUAACCAUUGUCCCCCUUUAAUCGAGGGGUUUAGGGUAGCGGCCUUAAAGACACCCACGAAUAACACUUCAUUUGGUACCAUCUGACUGGUCAUUCAAUGAUCAACCACCCGCAUGCUUCAUACCGCCUAUAGGAAGGCCACUUGUCUUUGGCACUAGCUGGCCCCUCUAUUAGGACACCCACUUUUAGUGAACCCUCCAUUAUGCCACUCGCUUAUAGCAACGUGUUCUUAUCUUUAGAAGGGGACCAUUAAGACUUAACAACUUUGUACUACUUCAACAAAUGAAAUGUCAAAGUAGGAUCACGCAGUACCACACUUGAUGACAAUUAACGUAUAACAAACUUGCCACCUAGCCGGCCAUACCAAUUGGCCACCAUUCGUACUGUCAAUGACAUGGUACUAUCAAGCAAGGAGACCUUCCCCUUAUAUACACCUCAACCCAGAGGUUCACCUUUAUUACUCCCUUAAACCCUAACACUUUAUAACCUCUUCUCCUUAUCUACUUACUCCUUCCUUCCUACUUCGAUUUUUAACCUAUAAUAGGUGAACUGACUUUCUAAUCACCAUCAUCAUUUCCUCCCUAUCUUCUCCUUAAAUAUUAGCAUCAAUAAAAGGUAUACAUGUAAAAAAAAUAUUGACGUAUUUAUAAUAUUAUUGUUGUUAAUUAUAAUUAUCUUUUUUUAUAAAAUAAUUUGUUUUUCAUAUUACAAUUUAUAAGAUUAUUUUAAAUUAAUUUUAUUGUUUUUUUAUAAUAAAUUUUUUUAUUGUAUAAUUGUUUUUCAUAAAUUUGUUUGUUAAUAUAAAUUUUUAUAAUAAAAAUAUUACCAUAUUUAUUUACUAUAAUUAUUUUAAUGAAAAAUUUUCAAAUUUAAGAAUAAAACAUAUAUUUUAUAUUAUGAAUUAUCGAUUAUAUAUACCUCUAAUAUGUAUUAUCAAUUUUUUAGCUUAAGAAUAAAUUUACAUUUGUUUUUAUUCUUUAAAAUAUAAUUACAUGGACAAUCAUUAUUAAUCUAUGCAUUACACGAGUUUCUAGCUGUUUUUCCUUUCUGUUUCAUAACCAACGUAGUUUCUAGCUGUUUUCUCCGAUGAUAAUUUUAAAAUCCUCAUUAUUUUUAUCUAAAUAAGUAAAUUACUUUCUGGAAAUUUGAAAUUUUUUUUUGAAAGAAAUGACACUCGUUCAAACACAUUCUAAUACAAAAUUAAAAACUUAUAGUUUUCUAAAAGAAAAGGGUGUCCCAAGUUACAUUGAACUUAAAAUUAACUGUUGUCGGAUCCGGAACUUUUAAAGGUAAAAUCCCCUCAGUAACUGCAUUUUCUAAGGUUCAAACUUUUGUUUUUACCUCUAUAGAAGCAACGUUGGUAGCUAGCUACCACCUCAACAAUCAACUUGUUUGUAAUUUGAAUUUUUUUUUACAAUUACAAUCACAAUCAGAAGUAAUAGAUAUCCUGAUAAAUGAAAUAAAUGUAGACAAUACUUGGAAAUAAAUCUAAAUAUUAUAUUUAUGCAUGAUGAGAUUUGAAUAUGAAAUUUUUAUUCAUAAAGCUUCAAUCUUACUAAAAAAAUUAAAAAUAAUUAUUUGGUAUAUUAGCCGUUAAAAGUUUUAAUUUCAAAAGUGAAUUAAAAUUUUACCAUAUAUCUUUAAAUUAUUUUUAAAAAAUAAAAAAUAAAUAAAAACAUGUUCAAAUUCAAAUUUCCAAUUACACUUCCUAAACAAAAAGUAAUGUUAGUUAAGGAGAUACGGUCAAGCCUCAUAACAACUUCGCCGAAGCGAGUCCCGGGGACUCAUUCGGUUUAAAAUAAGGCCUUUUUUUUUUUCAGGUUCAGCUUCAACAGCCUACUUUUAUGCAAAUGUUUCCAUCUAUUUUCACCCAAAAUAAAAAUCCCAAAACAUCUCAUGCUUCUAUCAAAUUAUUGUCUCUUAAUAAUUUUUUAACCAUUGCAAGAGAUAUUAAUCACUUAAAAAAUAAAAAAUAAAAAAGAGAGAAAGAAAUGGAAGAUGAAAUUAAGCAUGGAAACGUGACACAUGUGCCUAACAAAGGAAGCCCCGAAAGCCCACAUGUAGCAUGUAGUGAUAGCAAUCACAAUCAGAACAACAACAACAAUAAAGAACAAGACCGUUUCCUUCCCAUAGCAAACGUCAGCCGGAUUCUGAAAAAAGUUAUCCCAAGCAAUGGUAAGAUCUCCAAAGACGCGAAAGAAACGAUUCAAGAAUGCGUGUCGGAAUUCAUCAGCUUCGUGACAGGGGAGGCAUCGGACAAAUGCCAAAGAGAGAAAAGGAAGACCAUCAAUGGAGAUGAUAUCAUAUGGGCAAUCACCACAUUAGGGUUUGAGGAAUACGUAGGACCCUUGAAAUUGUACUUAACCAAAUAUAGAGAGAUGGAAGGGGAGAAGCUUAUUUUCCCAAAGCAACAAAGAUCGGACCAAAGGCGACAACAUUCGGAAUAUGAACAAAAUAUAGUUUUCAACAACAAUAACAAUAUUAAUAUUAAUACUAAUAGUAAUAACAAUGUAUAUUCUUCAAUAAAUGUUUACCCUUCUUUUGUUCCUUCGGAUCAACCAUUUUCCUUGCCUUUCUCCUCCAAUUCCUUUCAAAAGCAAUUACAGUAGCCAGAUUUGAUUCAGUGGGACAUUGGUAAGAACAGUUGAUUUUUUUUUCUUCUUUUUUAAUUCACUGCGAUGUUAAAUUAAUUUCAUAUAUACAUUUGUUUACUAUUUGCUUUGUAAUAUAUUACUAACUUUAUAUGUUUUCGAGUAAUUUAAUCAACUCAUCUCUUUAUUUGACAAAAAAAAAAAAAGAGUUUUUUUUUUCUCUUCAAAUGAAUUUGAGUAACGUCAUGUACCAAAAUCAAAUGAUAUGAAAUAUGAUAAUAAGGUAAUUAAUUUUGUUUGUGUAAUCCAAAUGCAGUAGAUCUUAAUUCAUAAAUACAUAUAGACUUUGAACUUAUGUGAUGGCCUAAUGGUUAAGGGUGUUCAUCGCUUCAGGUGUGGUCUAAGUUUGAAUCCCGCUAGUCGCGUUGGUUGUUUGGGUUUUGCUUUGUUAUUGUAAUUCAUCAAAAUAAAAUAAUAUAUAGAUUUUUUUUGUUAUUAUAAAUUUAUAAUUUAAUCUGAUGUCACAAAUCAAGUACAGGUCUGACCCCUAGGAGUUAUUUGAGAGUGCAGCCGCCUAGGGUUCAGGGUUGGAAGGGGCCCCAAAAAAUAUUUUUUCAGCUUUUAACGUGGAAACAAAAUUCAGACUAAAAUAAAUUAAUUAAAUGCCUAGAGCUUUCAAUUUUUCACCAUAAAUAUUUCAUCUCUUAGGACCCAAAAUUUUUUCAACUUUCAUUGUAUUACAUUUUAUAAUUUUUUUUAAAAAAGGGCACAGAUUAUUGUUUCGUUUAGGGCUCCAAAAAUAUUAAGAACGAGCCUGAUAAAGUAAUACUAUUGAAAAUAUAAUAAUACUAAAUUUGUAAAUUAAAGAAGAGAAUAUAUAUAUAAAUAAAAAUAUAAUUAUAUAGCUUCUCAUCAAUAACUCACUCUUUUUUAAACUAUAAUUAUUUAUAAAAACUAAAAUUUGUACAUAAAUAUUAUAUUCACCCGUGGGUGUCUAAAAAGUAAUUAUUAUGAAAUGUUAUAUAUAAAUAUCUAAAUAUUUUUGUUCCCAUGUGUUUAUCUUAAUAAACUAAGAACUUAACAAUAUGAAUUUCAUCUUUUAAUUUUACAGAAAUAAAAAAAUAAUAAUCCCUCAAUUUUAAUGGGUCAAAAAUUGAAAUUUAUUAUGAAAAUUGAGAAUUUAGUCUAAUAUGAUAAAGAUUAUCAUAUUAAACUUUUUCGAUAAAUUAUUGAUCUAUAAAUCACCGGUUUAGAAAUUUAUAUGCGCAAAAUAAAUAAAUAAUAAUUUAUCAAUUUAUAUGUAAUAAAUUAAUAAAAAAAUAGCGGAUGAAGUUUAUGUGUUUAUAUCACCAAUUGCACUGACCUUCCAAUUUUCGUAAAAUAUAACUUUUAACUUUUAAAUUUUUAUAAAAUAGGGGAUGAAUUUCAAAUAGCACCCAAUUGAAACAAUAGAAUGAAUUUUAUAAAUAAAAAUAAGUAUGUCAUACCAUCUACUCUAUGUCUUUUAUAUUUCGUAAAAUAUAAAUGAAUUUUUUAAAUGAAUAUUAUUAUUAUUAUUGUAAUAUUCUAUAUUAUUUGUUAAGACUUUUACUAUGUUAGUGUUACUCAUCAAUUACGUCUCAAUUCAGUUAGAAAAAUUACGAAAAUAUCAUUUCGUAAUUAAAACAAGUUAUGUUAUUUGACGGCACUUUAGUCUUUUUAUUUUUUUUUAAAUUCAAUAAAAACAUGUAUAUGGCAGGAUUUGAACCUAUAUCAAUUGCAUCAAUAAAAACUUUAACUUAUCACUAAACUAAAGCUUUAUUUUAAUAUUUUUAUACAUUUUAAUUUUAUUAUGCACACAUAGGGGAGAAGCUGAAAAUUUUGGGGGGGGGGCAGAAUUAAAUUGUAUAUCUUUACAAUAGUUAAAAUGCAAUUUCACCAUUUUAAUGGCCUAUAUCUUUAUAAUUUUUAAAGGAUCAAAUCAAUUUUUAUCAUUUUUUGGGGGCCAAAAAUUUUACAAUUACUAAUUUGAAAUUUUAUAAAUUAUAAAGGGGCUUAAAUGAAAUAUUUACCAGCCCUUGGCUUCACCACUGUGCACACUUAUUAUCUCUGUUGUAUAUAUUUCAUAAUUAAUUUAAUUAUUUAUUGUAUAUUAGGGGAGAAGCCAAAAAAAAUUUUGGGGGGCCAGAAUUGUAACAGCCCAAUUUUGGGCCUAGUCGGAACAGUGGUUUCGGGACCAUGAAUCCGACGAAGAAAAAUUUAUUUUUCUUAUAUUUUUAUGGUCUACGAUUUCACGGAAUGAUUUUGUGAAAAUUUCGUUCGAAAAUUUCGACGUUUGGGCACUCAAUUUAGUCAGAAGGACUAAAUUGUAAAAAGUGCAAAAGUUGAGUUCUACAUGUUAGAGGUGUUCAAUUGUUAUGAAACUUUAAAUUGGAGGUCCUUAUAUGGUAAUUAGACCAUUGGUUAAGUUGGUAGACAAAAAUGGGCAUGAGAUAAGUGAAAUAGGAAAUUUUUAAGUUAGGGGCAAUUUGGUAAUCUAGUAAUUAAAAUGAAUUAAAAGGGAAAAAGAUGGCAAAUUGGGCUCAUCUUCUUCAUUGGGACGAAAUCAGCAAGGGGGGAGCCAUUUUUAGGGUUUUCAAGCUUCCAAGCUCCAUAGUAAGUGAUUCUAAGCCCCGUUUUUAAUGUUCAUUACGUUUUUGGAGUCUCGGUAACUUGAUUUUGCUUAUUCUAGCAAUAAUUUAAUCUAGGGUUUAUAUUUGGAAAAAUACUCAUAUGUGAAAUGUGUUUAUUUUGAUGUUUUAUGGUAGAAUAUGAAGCUAGAAAUUAUGUUAAGCAACUUUUGCUUGGCGAUUUUGAGUGAAAAUAAGUAAAACGACAUAAUCAAUAAAAAUACUAAAUGUUCAUAAGUAAGUGUUAGAAUGAGAAUUUGGUGUUGUCAUAGAAGGGAAAAAUUUUCAGCAUGUCAUAAUACAUAAUAAUAAGGGAUAAAGUUUAAUUUCGGAGCCUAGGGGCAAAAUUGUAAUUUUGUGAAACUUUAGGGGCAAAAAUGUAAUUUUUCCAAAAUGUGAUUUUUGGACUGGAUUGAAUAAUGUGAGUGUUAAAUAAGUUAAAUGUGUUAUUAUAAGUCAAGAAAGACAAGGAAUUGACUUUGAUUAGUGAAAAAAAAUGAGAAAAAGUGAGAAAUUUCCCGAUUGAACAUUCGGAAUAAAAAGGGAUACGAAUGAAGUGACAGAAAUGAUCACAUAUGUGGCAUGGACUGUGUGUAGGCCACUAUAUGAAAGUGAAAGUGUUGGUCACGUGUGUAGUACUGUGUGAAGGCUACAAUGUGUACCGAGAAGCUUUGGUCACGUGUGUAGUACUGUGUGAAGGCUACUACGUGAAUCGAUAAAUAAUGGUCACAUGUGUAAUACUAAGUGAAGGCUACAAUAUGUACCGAGAAGCUUUGGUCACGUGUGUAGUACUUUGUGAAGGUUACUACGUGAAUUGAUAAAUGAUGGUCACAUGUGUAGUACUAAGUGAAGGCUACUAUGUGUACCGAAAAGCUUUAGUCACAUAUGUAGUACUAUGUGAAGGCUACUACGUGAAUCGUAAAACUUGAUCACGUGUAUAGUGUUAACAUUAAUGGGAGACAACAUUAAUGGCAAACAAUACAAAGUGGUGCAAGUUUAGCACCCUAAAGUUGACUUUGAAAAAGUGGCAUGGGAUAACUUUUUUUUGGUCCUUGAGAUAAUGGGCUAUUUAUUGUUUGGUCCUUAAACCUCAACUAUAAAUAGGCCUUCUCAUUUCUCAUUUCAAUUCAUCCCAACCAAUCUUUCUCUCUUAGUUUUCUCUCUUCUCCCAUUUGAGAAUUCUUAAGGAAUUCUAUUUGUUUGUAAUACUUUGGAGAUAGUAAAGUUAUCAUCUGGUGUUAGUGCCCGAGGACGUAGGUAUAAUUUACCGAACCUCGUUAAAACUCUUGUGUUCUUUCUUGUCCUAUUUUUCUUUCAAUAUUUGAGGGUAUAAUAGUAGUAUUUAAUUGUGCUAUUAAAUUACUAUAGAACGGAUAUUCUGUCUAAGGAAAGACUUGGUAUUUAAGAGAUCCAUGUGAUCCACCUCUUUUCCCUGGGAAUUGAACUUUGUGUGAUUUUUUAGUACAAUAAUUUACACGCUUCCGACCCUAUUGGAACAACAAGUGGUAUCAGAGCCGAAAGUUAAUCAUAGUAUGUUCUGUGGUUGCAGUUUAAACUGAUCUUCCACAUCAGAAAAGAUUUCCUUAGGUAUAUUGAAAGAUUAUGGAGAAAACGGUCGGUGUAGGAGCUUCAACAUCGUCCAUAUGGAUAAGACCGACAAUUGCAAAUGCAAGAUUGGCCGUGGAGAUCUUUGAUGGCACGGGCCAUUUUGGUAUGUGGCAAAGUGAGGUUCUAGAUGCCCUUUUUCAGCAGGGUCUAGACAUUGCCAUUGAUGAAGAGAAACCAGAUGAUGUACAGGAGAAAGAUUGGAAGGCGAUCAAUCGGUUGGCAUGUGGCACAAUUCGAUCAUGCCUUUCUCGAGAGCAGAGGUAUGCUUUUUCAAAUGAGACUUCUGCAAAUAAGUUGUGGGUGGCACUUGAAGAAAAUUUUUUGAAGAAAAACAGUCAAAAUAAGCUCCACUUGAAGAAAAGACUGUUUCGCUUCACAUACGUCCCAAGUACCACAAUGAAUGAUCACAUCACCAAAUUUAAUCAGUUAGUCACUGAUUUGCUGAAUAUGGAUGAGACAUUCAAAGAUGAAGAUUUGGCUUUGAUGCUGUUGGGGUCACUUCCUGAGGAGUUUGAGUUCCUAGAAACUACUCUACUUCAUGGCAGGAGUGAUAUAUCUCUGAGCGAAGUCUGUGCGGCCUUAUACAGUUAUGAACAGAGAAAGAAGGACAAACAGAAAAACUCAAUCAGAGAUUCAGAAGCUUUAGUAGUCCGAGGUCGUUCAUACACUCGGAAGAAAACUCAAAAGGGGAGAUCAAAGUCAAAGUCCAGACUCGGGAAAGAUGAAUGUGCUUUUUGUCAUGAGAAAGGCCACUGGAAGAAAAAUUGUCCAAAGCUGAAGAAUAAGGGAAAAGCUGCUGUAGAUGCUUGUGUUGCAAAGCAUGAUACCAGUGACUCUGAACUAUCACUGGUUGCAUCAUCAUCGUCGUUCCAUUCAGAUGAGUGGAUAUUGGAUUCGGGUUGUACCUAUCAUAUGUCCCCUAACCAGGAGUGGUUCUCUGAUUUAGUAGAACUAAAUGGAGGAGUUGUUUAUAUGGGCAAUGACAAUGCCUGUAAAACUAUUGGGAUAGGUUCAAUCCAAUUAAAGAAUAAAGAUGGAUCAACUAGAGUUCUGACUGAUGUUCGGUACGUGCCCAGUUUGAAGAAAAAUCUCAUCUCAUUGGGAGCCCUGGAAUCCAAUGGUUCAGUUGUUACUAUGAGAGAUGGGGUUUUGAAAGUGACAUCUGGCGCACUUGUGAUAUUGAAGGGCAUCAGGAAAAAUAACUUGUAUUACUACCAAGGUAGUACAGUUAUUGGAGCAGUCGCUGCAGCUUCCGGCAACAAAGAAUUGGACUCAAUACAGUUGUGGCAUAUGAAGUUGGGACAUGCCAGCGAAAAAUCCUUGCAAAUUCUGGCAAAGCAAGGAUUGUUGAAAGGUGCAAAGGCUUGCAAAUUAAAAUUUUGCGAGCAUUGUGUUCUGGGAAAGCAAAAGAGAGUAAAAUUCGGCACUGCUAUCCAUAAUACAAAAGGUAUUUUAGAAUAUGUUCACUCAGAUGUGUGGGGGCCUUCCAAGACACCUUCAUUGGGAGGAAAACACUACUUUAUUACUUUUGUUGAUGACUUUUCCAGAAGAGUUUGGGUGUAUACCAUGAGAACUAAGGAUGAAGUGUUUAGAGUUUUUCUUAAAUGGAAAACUAUGAUCGAAAACCAGACUGGCAAGAAAAUCAAGCGGCUUAGGACGGACAAUGGAGGGGAAUAUAAAAGUGAUCCGUUCUUCGAUGUGUGCCAAGAGUAUGGUAUUGUUCGACACUUCACAGUUAGGGAUACACCACAACAGAAUGGAUUGGCAGAGCGUAUGAAUCGAACAUUGUUGGAGAAAGUUCGAUGUAUGUUGUCCAAUGCUGGGUUGGGCAAGCAAUUUUGGGCUGAGGCUGUAACAUACGCUGGCCAUCUUGUUAAUCGUUUGCCAUCAUCUGCAUUAGAAAGAAAAACUCCUAUGGAGGUAUGGUCUGGAAAACCGGCUACAGAUUAUGAUUCUUUACAUGUGUUUGGAACCACUGCAUAUUACCAUGUGAAGGAGUCAAAGUUAGAUCCGAUGGCAAAGAAAGCUCUAUUUAUGGGAAUCACUUCUGGAGUGAAGGGAUUUCGUCUUUGGUGCUUAAGCACAAAGAGAAUGAUCUGUAGCAGAGGUGUUACCUUUGAUGAAUCUGUCACAUUGAAAAAGGUAGCAGAUAAAGAUAUUCAGACGAGCAAUACUCCACAGCAGGUGGAGUGUACUCCAAAACAGGUGGAGUUUGAGCAGAUGGGGAUUUGCCCAGUUAAUAAGUCUAAUUCUCCAGCCACAAUGGAGGAAUUAGAGGUUGAAGAGGUUCUGACCCAAGAACCACUAAGUACACCAGAACCAGUUGCAGUUGCAAGGCCACGGAGAGAAAUUCGUAAACCUGCUCUAUUUACUGAUAUGGUGGCCUACGCCAUUCCCGUUGUUGAUGAUAUUCCUAUCACUUAUCAAGAAGCAAUUCAAAGCUUAGAAAGUGAUAAAUGGAAAAGCGCCAUGGAUGAAGAAAUGCAGUCUCUCCGGAAGAACAAUACUUGGGAGUUGGCGCAAUUACCGAAAGGUAAAAGGGCAAUCGGAUGCAAAUGGGUAUUCGCAAAGAAAGAUGGAUCUCCUAGCAAGAAGGAUAUUCGCUACAAGGCAAGAUUGGUAGCUAAAGGCUACGCUCAGAAGGAGGGAAUUGACUACAAUGAUGUAUUUUCCCCUGUUGUGAAGCAUUCCUCCAUUAGAAUUUUGUUGGCCUUGGUAGCACAGUUGAAUUUGGAGCUAGCUCAACUUGAUGUUAAGACGGCUUUCUUGCAUGGUGAGUUAGAAGAGGAGAUCUAUAUGACUCAGCCCGAAGGAUACACAGAUGCUGGUGGUAGAAAUUGGGUUUGUAAGCUGAAAAAAUCACUAUAUGGAUUGAAACAAUCCCCGAGGCAAUGGUACAAGCGAUUUGAUAGCUUUAUGAGAAGCCAGAAGUACACAAGAAGCAAAUAUGACAAUUGUGUAUAUUUGCAGAAGCUGCAUGACGGAUCUUUCAUUUAUCUACUCUUGUAUGUUGAUGAUAUGUUAAUCGCUUCAAAGAGCCAAAAUGAGAUAGAUAAGCUGAAGGCUCAGUUGAAUCAAGAGUUCGAGAUGAAAGAUCUAGGUGAGGCCAAGAAUAUUCUCGGCAUGGAGAUAAGUAGAGAUAGACCGAGAGGCAAGCUCUGUUUAAAUCAGAAGCAAUAUCUGAAAAAGGUAUUACAAUGUUUUGGUGUAAAUGAAAACACAAAACAUGUAAGUACCCCACUUGCUUCUCAUUUGAAACUUAGUGCUCAAUUAUCUCCGAAGACUGAAGAUGAAAGUGAAUAUAUGGCGAAAGUCCCAUAUGCUAAUGCAGUUGGGAGUUUGAUGUAUGCGAUGGUGUGUACGAGGCCUGACAUUUCACAAGCUGUUGGAGUUGUGAGCAGGUAUAUGCAUGAUCCUGGAAAAGGACAUUGGCAAGCUGUGAAAUGGAUUCUACGGUAUCUUCGAAAAACCGUAGAUGUUGGUUUAAUUUUUUAACAGGACGAAGCACUUGGUCAGUUUGUAGUUGGAUGUGUUGAUUCCGACUUUGCUAGUGAUUUAGAUAAACGUCGUUCAACUACGGGGUAUCUGUUUACUCUUGCGAAAGCCCCAGUGAGUUGGAAGUCUACCUUACAGUCUACAGUAGCUGUGUCUACUACAGAGACAGAAUAUAUGGCAGUUACAGAAGCUGUUAAGGAGGCUAUUUGGCUUAAUGGAUUGUUGAAAGACUUAGGAGUUGUUCAAAGUCACAUAAGUUUAUAUUGUGACAGUCAGAGCGCUAUUCAUUUAGCGAAAAAUCAAGUCUAUCAUUCAAGAACCAAGCAUAUCGACGUAAGAUAUCACUUUGUGCGGGAAGUCUUUGAAAAAGGAAAAAUUCUACUUCAGAAGAUUCCGACAGCAGAUAAUCCCGCAGAUAUGAUGACCAAGGUGGUAACAACAAUCAAGUUUAAUCAUUGUUUGAACUUGAUUAACAUCCUGAGAAUUUGAGCACCUUCAGGUGUAUGGCGCUCGAGUGUGCAUUUGUAGGCACUACAAAAGAUAGCUUUAUCGAAUUUGGGGAGUUGAAGGAAGUGUGUGAAGAUGUGAUUAUCCUAAUCAAAUCUUCAAGGUGGAGAUUGUUAACAUUAAUGGGAGACAACAUUAAUGGCAAACAAUACAAAGUGGUGCAAGUUUAGCACCCUAAAGUUGACUUUGAAAAAGUGGCAUGGGAUAAUUUUUUUUUGGUCCUUGAGAUAAUGGGCUAUUUAUUGUUUGGUCCUUAAACCUCAACUAUAAAUAGGCCUUCUCAUUUCUCAUUUCAAUUCAUCCCAACCAAUCUUUCUCUCUUAGUUUUCUCUCUUCUCCCAUUUGAGAAUUCUUAAGGAAUUCUAUUUGUUUGUAAUACUUUGGAGAUAGUAAACUUAUCAUCUGGUGUUAGUGCCCGAGGACGUAGGUAUAAUUUACCGAACCUCGUUAAAACUCUUGUGUUCUUUCUUGUCCUAUUUUUCUUUCAAUAUUUGAGGGUAUAAUAGUAGUAUUUAAUUGUGCUAUUAAAUUACUAUAGAACGGAUAUUCUGUCUAAGGAAAGACUUGGUAUUUAAGAGAUCCAUGUGAUCCACCUCUCUUCCCUGGGAAUUGAACUUUGUGUGAUUUUUAGUACAAUAAUUUACACGCUUCCGACCCUAUUGGAACAACAUAUAGUACUAUGUGAAGGCUAUUACGUGAACCGUAAAAAUUGAUCACGUGUGUAGUACUAUGUGAAGGCUACUACGUGUAUCGAAUGAUAAUAGUAACAUGGGUGGUACUAUGUGAAAACCCCAAAUAUUUGUUGUUAUAUCGACAUGUUUAACGAGAUAUGAGAAUGUGAUUGAAAUGUGAUAAGUUACGAAAGAGUGACUGAAGUGAUGAAGUCUUGCAUUGUGUUAUAAAAUAAAUGGUUAUAGUGCUAUGUGAAUGAGAGAUAUUGGAAUAGAAUAGAUUUGGACAGUGACGGUGACGUUAGUUUGAAAAAUCACCAAAAAUUUUAGAAAUUGAUUUAGUGGUUGAAUGAGAUAUGAAAUUAAAGCUUAUUGAGUCUACUUUCAUAUAAAAGAAACAGAGCAAGCAAAAGAGUUGUAUAUUUUGAUAUAUUUGAAUUUUAGUGAGACAGGGUCGAAAUGAUUUCGGAAUCCCCUGUUCUGACUUUGGAAAAUCACUAAAAAUUAUAAAAGAAUAAUUAUGAGUUAUAAUUUAUAUGCUUAGAAUCCUUGAUGAGUCUAUUUUCAAAUGACAUAAACGAAAUUAUCAUCCAAAUUCUUUACAGUGAGAUAAUUCAUUUUUAGUAAAGAGAGGUCAGUGAUGUUGAGCAGUGAAACAGGGGUAAAUUUAAAGAAUAAACUGUACUAAUUGGCCAAGUAAAAAAUUCUGAAAAUUUUAUGGUAAGAAGACAUGUGAGUCUAGUUUCAGGGAAAAUUAACGGAUCUUAAUUUGGAGCUCUGUAGCUUCAGAUAAAAAUUAUUUGGUGAUGCUGACUCAAAUAGACAGCUUUGAAUUUAAAUAUAAGUGAAUAGUGAAAUUAUGUAUAAUGCUAUUUAAGCAUGUUUUAUACAUAAAGGAUGUGGAAUGGAGAGGAGGAGGAGGACAAUAAAAUGUAUAAAAGAAUUGUGUAUAAUGGUCAUAUGCCCGAUUAUAAUCGGUAAAUGUUAAAUUGAAUGGUAAAUACGUAUUGGUACCGAAGGAACUAUUGCGGUGUUGAAAAGCAAUUGAUCAAAUAUAUAAGAAAUUUAGUCUUGAUAUAUAUAUAUGAUAAUAAUGAUAUAUGGAUGAUUAUAUCAUUGAGUUGCAUUGAUUAAUUCGGUUUAUGUGAUGGAAAUGUCAAGAACAUUUGUCUUUGCUAUGUGAUGAUCAUGAUUUAAGCUCAUAUGGGAAAAUAAAGUUUCAUAGUAUGAGAGUGUGGUAUUGAAAUAUAUAUUGGAUUGAGAAAUUAAUUUGAAUUGUGAACACGAAAUAUUGUGAAUUGAAUAAAAUGGAAAUGGAGCUUUGAAUUACAUAAGUAAGAAUCGGGUCUCGUAGGCCCUAUUUGUUAUGAAUAUAAUAUUUUGAGGAUAUGUUAUAAAGAAUUAUAAAAGCAUGCUAAAAAUUUGAAGAGUUUAAAUUUGAAUAAAAUUUUGUAACUCGGUUUAAUACGUUUACAUGUGUAAGUGUUCUAGUAAUGCCUCAUACCCUAUUCCGGAGUUGAAUAAGGGUAAGGGGUGUUACAAGAAUUAAAUUGUAUAUCUUUACAAUAGUUAAAAUGUAAUUUCACCAUUUUAAUGGCCUAUAUCUUUAUAAUUUUUAAAGGAUCAAAUCAAAUUUUUAUCAUUUUUUGGGGGCCAAAAAUUUUACAAUUGCUAAUUUGAAAUUUUAUAAAUUAUAAAGGGGCUUAAAUGAAAUAUUUACCAGCCCUUGGCUUCACCACUGUGCACACUUUAUUAUCUCUAUUGUAUAUAUUUCAUAAUUAAUUUAAUUAUUUAUUGUAUAUUAUUUUUAAAUACACUUUUAUGUUCUAGAUAGUGAUUUUCAUAUACGUACACGUGAAUUUCUAAUAAAUUUUAUCUAUUUUUUAUACAUAAUCAACUAAGUUUAUUAAUAAAAACAUAUUAAGUGAACUAAUAAAAAUUAUUUCGAAAAGAAAAAAAAAGAGACAGUUUUGUGGAAAUUUUAAUCUUCCAUUGGUUUCAUAAAAUAGAGGUCAUUUUUUUAAUUUUUUUGAAAAAUAAAAAAAAACAUAGAAGAAAUUAUAUUUGGUUGAAAUUUUUAAAAAUAUAAAAAUAUAUAAAAUUUUAAAAAAUAAUAAAAAUUGUUUUUAUUGUUUUCACUAAAAUGUUUUGUAGUACUGAUAAAAACAAAAUUUUUUAAUUUUAAAUGAAAUCAUCCCUUGUUCAAAUUCAUGGAAAUGCAUAUUUUGUUAAUAAAUUUUCUUAUAUUAAAUCUAUAAUACCCUGUUUUGACUUUAUAUAAAUACAAAAAAAAAUUAUUUAUUCUAUUUCUAUUAUUGAAAAAUAAGUACCGAUCAUGUUUCAUGUUUAAAAAUAAAUUGUCAUUUAUCAAACAUAUUUUUCAAUUUAAAAAAUUAAAAAUAAUUUAAAAAAGAUGCGUCUUCCCUUAAAUAUUUUAUACUUUCUUCCAAAAAAGAAAAAAAUUGUAAUGUCAUCAAUUACUCGCCCAAAAAAACAAUGAGUUAGUUCUAUCAAUGCUCUUAUACCUUUUAUCAAGGACAUUGAACAGAAUGUAUCUAUGUAAUCACAAUUAUAUGACUAAUCAUAUACCAAAUAUAUUAUUUUAUUCAAUAAAGUUUUUUAAGGAUCCCUUUUUGCAAAUGAAUUUAGUAAGAUGAAAUUUUGUAAAAAUAAAUAAAAAUAUUUAUACAAAAGGAAUGUUGUAAAUAUUCCGAAACAAGCUAUGCAUAUCGAAAAUUUGUAUUUUUAAAAAUUUGAUAGGAAAGUCGAUUGAGUCGUAGGUCGAUUGGCAUCGGCAUUAUUACCUUGUGCCGGAGGACAUGGGUUUAAGUGCACUGAAACGCAUUAUCCUCCUAUUUAAAGGUUGGGGAGGGGGGGCUAUGGAUAGUUCUAAGCAUUGUAUAAAAAAUAUAUAUGAUAAGAAACUAUAAUAAGAUUAAUGUUAAAAAAAUUGAUAGGAAAAGAUUUAUAGAGCACAAUUUUAUUGAUAAUAAAAAUGAAUUAACUUGGAGAGAGAAUUUUUUCAACUAAAAAGUUAUUAGCUUAUAGGUAGACCUUUCUACCACAUAAUUAGUUAUAUUUUCAUCAUAUAAUCUUGUAUAAGAUUGCUUUUAUAGAAAUUUCAAAAAUAAAUUAUAUAAUAAAUAUAUUUAUUAAAAAUUUAUAUAAAAAAUUAUUUGAAGUUUUAGUUACAUUAUAUGUUUUAUUAUGAUAAAACUUUUAUUUAUUAUAUAAAAAAUUAGGCUCAUAAUGUAACGUAAUUUGUAUAUUUAUUUUUAUAAUUUUAUAAUUGAAUUGUUGAUUUGUUGAUUAAAUACUUAAAAUUAAUAUAAAUAAAUAAAUAAAUAAAACUUGUCUCAAUCACUGUGAAGCAGAAAAGAAAGUAGAACUGUCAAAUGAAGUCAGAGAGCAUCCAAAAUCAUUAGACGUCUUUCUAUCACAAAAAACAUUAGGCAACCAUAAAAGAAAGUCAGCCACAAACCUGAAAAUCCAGGCUUCUGCAUUGGAUCGAGCCAUGGGGCUAGAAGUAGAAUGGUAUAAGAGGAACCCCAAGAGCACAUGCACAGGACCAAAACAAGCAAGAGAAACCAAGUCAAACCCUAUUCUAGAACUGCUCUAGGAGACGGAGAAAGGCCAACAAGUUAAAAGCCAUAUAGAAACAACAAAAAAAGGUCUCUCUCCUUCAAGAAACAACAAAGAGAAAGUUUGAUCUAGCAAGGGACAACCCUCUAAAACACCGAUUAUCAAAGAUGGUAUUAGCUAAUAAAAUUACAAGAUUAAACUUCUUCUUCUUAGGUCUAAUGUGCAUUUUCAUUCCAACAUCAAGUUAUGAUUGUAUAAACAAAAGAAGGCUAAUUAGCUCUAUAUUGAAUUGAAUUGAAGCAACAAUUUGGAUCUUAAAAGCCUCGGUAUAAUUUAUCUACAAUCACGAAACAAAGAAAAAAAUACUCAUUCCAGGUGAAAAAUUAUCAUCAAUGACUUGAGAGACCCAACCUUUUUGGAAUUAAAUUUAGCAAAUGGUUCACCAAAUAUUUUUACAUCAUGCUGCGAUGGAUGAGGCCAAUGCCUUUUCAUUCUUAUCAUUGUUUUCUUUUUCUUGGCCAACACUAUCAUCUUCAUUCUCGAGAGAUUUCACAUUCACAUCCACAAUCUUUGCAUCUCCGAUAUCGUUAAUGUCUUUAGCUGCAUCUCCGUCGCCGACGCUAGCAACUUUCGCGGUGUUAUUACCAUACAAGCAACCAAAUACCAUCCUGAACCCGAAUGCCCUCGACAUCAACCUGUACACUGCGGUUAGGAUCCAAAAUACCCAAGGUGUGCUAAUGAAGAUAAAACCAAGGACAGGGAGCAAUUUUGAGGAUUGAAAUUCGGGGACGAAAAUAUAACACAAAAGGCAACCGCCUCCGGCGAGGACGCAUAUGAACAAGAUGCAAGCGAUGGCCCAUAUGUAAGUGCAGCUAGCAACUUGAUCUGGUUCAGACAUUUGAGAAAUGUACAAAGAAAGGAAUUAUUAUUAUAUAUGAUUAUUACAAACAAAUAUGAGUAUCUCCCCGUCGUGCUGAUGAACCAUGCUUUAGACUAAUGGGAUCGAAAGGACCCAUUAGAGAUGGGAUUUUGCCUAGGUUGUUAUGUUGUUGUUGCAGGCUGGAUGAACUAUGGUGGGAUUCUCCGAAGUUACGCAUGUUCAAAUAUUUGUUUACGUAAAACAUGGUUCAUUUUUGUCAAAUUUACAAGGUGGGAAUGUGGAUUAAGAGAGAGAAUGACAACGUGUUUGGUUUAUAUUUUUGUUAUAUGGUUGAUGCUCACCUUUUUAAGACCGUACAUAUUUAAAAUUAUUAAAUUCAACAUUAGGCUUCCCAAGCUUGACCGUCAACCCAAAUCCAAAUGUUCAAGUCCAUGAAAGAUAAUAUCUAUAUUUUUUUUAAAAAUUAAUAAUGAUAACAUUUUGUAAUUAUAUUUUAAAGUAUCAAAAAAUAUUCGAGAUAAAUAUUAAAUUUAUACAUAAAUUUUGAUACGAUUUAUAAUGUUAUACGUUAACCUAAAUUUGGUGUAUUUAUAUAUAUUAAAACUUAAUUUUAAUUCAAUUUUCAUAUUUUAUUCAUCUUGUUAUCUAUAUGGCACAGUCUUUUUUGAAAUCAGGUAUAAAUUAUUGGCACAGUCUUUUUUGAAAUCAGGUAUAAAUUAUUGACAUAAUAUUUUAUUAGAUUAAAAAAAUAAAGAAAUUAAAUUAAUUUAUUUUCACUUAGGUUAAAAAAUAAAUAUGCUUGAAGAAAAGGUAUUUUAUUUUCCUAAAAAAACUGUUUUUCCUUUUUAAAUUAGGUGAAAAUAAUUGUCUCGCUUUCGUAUGAGUGAAAGAGUAUCUAUUCAAUGGAAUGACAGUUAUACAAUUAAAAAACGCCUAUGUAACUCCAACAAAUUACACGUACUAUAAUAUCCCUUUAAUAAUCUAUACAUUACAUGCCCAACUCAACUGCUGUUUCAAUUUUUCAUUUAUUUUAGAAUAAUUUGAUAACAAAUAAUUUCAAGAAAAAAAUAUUAAAUAAAAGAUUAAAAUAAUUUUUUAUAGAUAGUUGGAUUCAAAUAAUUCAUUAUAAAUAAAGUUGAAUUCCAAUAAACAAAGUACCUAACGCCAUAGAUAGCGAAUCCCAAAUCAGCAGAUCGGGAAAAAGUGGCAGGAUUGUUCGACCAGCAAGCAGAUCUUUACUUAGACGCAAGGCCAACGUAUCCCUUCCAGUGGUAUUCUAUGCUUGCCGCUCGCACUCUCCACCGCUCUCUGGCUUGGGAUGUGGGCACAGGCAAUGGUCAAGCUGCUAUUGGUGUCAGUACUAUUUCCUAAGUUUCCAAAUUACUUUACUGGGUAAAAGAAACCCAAUAGGUUAUGUUUUUUUAUGUUUAAUUUUCCAGGUUGCUGAGCAUUACGAGCAGGUGAUCGGCACUGAUGUGAGUGAGGCCCAAUUACAACACGCAAUACCGCACCCAAAGGUAAAAUAUCUCUACACUCCGUUGUCAAUCUCCGACGAGGAAUUGCUAUCUUCAAUCGGAGGUGAAAACUCAGUCGAUUUAAUCACGGUGGCUCAAGCAGUCCACUGGUUUGAUCUACCAAAGUUCUACUCUCUGGUAACCAGACUUCUACGGAAGCCCGGCGGUAUCGUCGCCAUCUGGUGCUACAACGACAUCGCCGUUAGCCCAACAUUUGAUCCCGUAAUGAAGCGGUUCCACGACACCAGGCUUCCUUAUUGGAACCCCAACAUUCAGUACGUUUUUUAUGGGUAUAAAACACUGCCUUUUCCAUUUGAAAGUGUUGGUUUGGGAUCUGAAGGGCAGCCAUUGGCGUUGGACAUACCUAAGAAACUGUCGUUCGAGGGAUUGUUGAGAAUGUUGAGAUCUUGGUCGGCGGUUGUUACAGCGAAAAAUCAGGGCGUUGAUUUGUUGUCUGAAAAUGUUGUGAAAGAAUUGAAGAGUGCAUGGGGUAGGUCUAAUUUGGUUAGAUCAAUUGCUUACAAGGCUUUUAUGCUUGCAGGGAAAGUCAAACUAUGAUUUUCUUUGGGAAUUAUAAGACUGUAGCUUAAGCUGUUUACUGAUAAAUAGUUUACUUAUGUCUUAAAAUAGAUAGUUUAUGAUAUAUCAGUAAGAAUUAAAUAAUAAAAUAAUAAUAUUUAUGAAAAAAAGGUUUUGAAUUAAGGAAAAUUAUUUCAUUAGGUGAAAAAAUUAUUUUCAUAAAAUGAUAAUUAGCUAAAAUUUAAUUAGACACCAAGAACUGAUAAUUUAGGCUUAAAUCUUUUUUUGAAAUAAGUUUCAAAUUGGGCUUUAUUUUAAAAUAAAUAAAUGUUACACAUAAUAUCCUAAAAAAACAACCAACGAGCCCAAUUAAAAAAAUUGAGCCCAGCAAAAGAAAACUAAAAGACAAAAAUUGAAAAACCAAAUCUCCUAUAGAAAUGAAAAAGGAAACAAAAUCUGAUUCUAAUAAAUGUUUACUAUUCUACCUGCCCAAUCAGUCUUAAAAGACUACAAACGUCUUAUCUCUUCAAUUUUAUUUACUUUUCCAAGACGCUUGAGAUUACUCUAGGGCUGCUGAAAUAACUUUGAUGUCUGCUAUUCUCUAUACUCUCAUCCCUUCAUUUCUCGCUUUCUUCCUUCAAUCUGGUUCUUUUGCCCUCUCAGUUUUUGCUUGGAUUUCUGCCGCUUCAGGGACUCGUCCGAUCAGGUAGGCUCCUCUACUACUCUUCAGCGCUUCAUUUGCUAAUAUAUGCGCAAGGUUGUUUGCUAAUCUUGGGAUAUGCUCAAACCUACACUCUUUGAAUUUAAGCAGAAGUUGAUGAAUAUCAUGUAAAUACGCACUAAUCAAUGAUUUAUCGGGGCUUUUUGUUUUACAUUUUCUUAUUAUUGAUAAAGAAUCCCCUUCAAUAAUAACUUUUUCCCACUGCAUGUUAACGCCGACCUGGAGGGCUUUCCGACACGCUAUUGCUUCCGCCCCAAAAGCUGAGGGAACUCUUUGAUGAACCUCCGUACAUGAUAGAAGAACUGAACCCUCCUUAUCGCGGGCCACAACCCCAAUAGCCGCUUUACUUUGUCUACCGUCGUACGCUGCAUCGAAAUUGAUUUUGACUACCUUGUCCACUGGCUUUGUCCAUAUUUUUACAGGUAUGGAAGACUGCAACCUAUUUUUACCAACUGCAUCAAGAUCUGAAAUAUAGCUAUGAACAAAUCUCCCUACUUCUUUUCCAGAUUUACCAUCUUUUUUAUGCAAUCUAUUGUUCCUGUCUCCCCAGAUGGUCCAUACUGCAACACAAAAGAUUCGAUGUUGAGAAGUCGAGCUUUGUGAGAAAACCCAGGUUAGCCACUGUAGAAACCCCAUUUGAUUGUCUUGCAAAAACCUAUGAAAAGAUAACUCUCUCCAUACUGCUAUUGUAGCAGGACAUUCCCGAAAGAGAUGGUCCAUAGUUUCAGUUCCUGAACUACAGCGAGGACAUACUGACGUGUUCGUCAGUCUUCUAAGUAGCAUAUUAGCUCGCGUAGCUAGAAAAUUCCAAGAUAUCUUCCAAACUGUAAUUUUAAUUUUUGAAGGAAGAUCAAGUAGCCAUAGUUUUCUGUAGAAGUCCUUGUAGUCAUUUUGUAAAGCAUAAGCUUCAGGGUUAUUUUCAAUGCUUUGUAAUAGUUUAUAGGCGCUCCGUGUUGUGAACUCACCCGUCGCUUCAACGCUCCAAACUUGGAAAUCUUCGUGCGGUGUUUCAGCUAGUGGGAUACUGAGGAUCUUCUUCGCUACAUCAUCCGGAAAGGUAUGCUCUACCAACUCUUGUUUCCAUGUUCUGCUACUUGAAUCAAUUAGCUCUGCAACUUUACUAUCAUUCAAAUUUGAACUUAAAACUGGUAAUCUAUCACGCGGUAAAACUGGAAUCCAAUAAUCACGACUGAUUGAAAUUUUUGUACCUCGCCCCACCUUCCAACAUAAGCCCUCUGCUAGGAUGCCCUUAGCAGCCCAAAUACUUUUCCAUGUAUACGAUAUAUUGUUCCCCAACUGUGAGUUUAAAAAAUCAACACUUGGAAAAUAUUUCGCUUUUAAUACUUGCGCAACUAAAGAAUUUGGAUUGUUUAUAAUACGCCAUCCUUGCUUAGCUAAAAGUGAAACAUUAAAUUGAGCCAUAUUUCUAAAAUUUAGGCUUAAAUCUUAAUUAUAGGUAAAAUUGUUGAUUGAGUAUUAAUUUUUAAACUCAAAAUAAAUGAAAAGUAAAAAAAUUAAAACGAAGAAGUCCUAUUUCUUCUUCUUUCCAUCGCCAAACUCAAAAUAAAGUUUAGGUGGGCACCGGGCACCGCUUAACAAUAGAACAUCUUCUAUUAUUCUUGACAUUUUUCGAAUUUUUUCUUCAUUUUCAAACUCUUUUUUUUCAUUUCAUCACUCAAGUCUCAAACUUUAUUGUUUUUAAUUCAAUGUUUGUUACGAUGAUUUUAAAUUAGUGUUUUUGUGUAAAUUGUUGUUUUUUUAAUUAAAAGCAGAGAAAAAUAACAUUGCAAUGGUAUUUUUGCAUGUUUCAAACUUAUUUGAACAAAGCAAAAAUAAACAUGUAAAAAUUUUAGUUAAUUCGAUUAAUCGCCCAAAUUAACCGAAAUUAUUUUGAUUGGUUAAAAGAUUUUGAAAAAUAAUUCGGUUCAGUUAACGAUUAAGGUUUUUAUGGUUUCGGUUAAUGGUAAUUCGGUUCAGAUAUUAAUUGAGCUAACUGUUUCAACACCCCCACCCAUUGAUGAGUAGAAUAGUAUAUCUUAGAUCCAAGUAGACUCAACUGUCAGUGUCAGAAAUUGAAGAAAAAAACUAUUUUGAUUUUGGUUCGUAGGUUUGUGACGUUUAAAGUUGUUUCAUAAACAAAAAAUUGAGUUGUAGAAGAGAAGGGAAUGAGAGCUUUCAAUUGGUGCAAGCAGUAUGAACAACGAAUGUCAUACAACAAUGAUUUUAACAACUUAGUAACUUAAAUGAAAACUUUUGAAUAAUUCUGGGACUAUUUUGUAACUUUUUGAAGUUGAGUGACUAAAAUGUAAAGUUUACUGACCUUAGUUGUAGUUUAACCUUAAUAUUUUGUAACAAUUGAGAUAUUUAUCUUUUGGGUAAACUAUCAAAAUAAUCAUUUUUGUUUGCCUCAAAUUACAUUCUAGUCACUUAUGUUUGAAAUGUUACGUUUUAGUCACUUGCAUUAUCAUGUUGUAACAUUUUAGUCACUAAGCUGUUAAUUAUCGUUAACAGUGUAAUGGUAAGCUAAUGUGGCACAUUAAAUCAUCAUUUCAAAUAAAAAUUUUAGGUUAAAUUAUACAAUUACCCCAUAUAUUUUAUCAUUUUGAGCUUUUUCAUUUGGUUCAGGAUUUGAAUCUGGUAACGGUUCCAAUCCCAUAAGCCUCGCAAUUAUGCUUGGUGGCUACCAUUGUUUAUUGUUGUCAUCCACCUCAUCUUCGCAUUGGUUUGCAAAUAAUAUGGAGGCAUUCGCAUGGAUCUCGUGGGGCUUAAGGCUUCUUUUGGCAUCAACGACAACUCUGCUAUCCAGAGAGAGCAUCAGAACUUCCUUGAAAAAUUUCCAUGGCGACCUUGCGCUACCUUCUUUGUACUAAAAAACAGGAAGGGGGAAAGGUGACUUGCUCUGAUUACUAGUAUGCGUGGGAAGUUCUGAUGCCGAAUAUCGGAGCUCGAAUGUAACUAGAGAUUGCUUCGAAUGGUCUAGUGACGCUGCUGCUUGACCUUGUGGUUGCUUCUCUAAUUCUCUCAAUAUUGUUGGUGUCUCAACGGUCUUCACUUGCUCCGUUUUCUUUUCACUCACCAGAAACAAAUUUAAAAAAAAGUUGAUAAAAUAAUACAAACCAACGUAAAAAAGAAGAAGAAAAAAAAUACAGAGAUCAAAAAAUAAAAGUCAGUCGGUGUUUCCACAGGAAGGAGGCACUGUAACACCUCUAACCCGUGACCAUCGCCGGAUUGGGGUUACGAGACAUUACCGAACCAAAAGUUUAAUUCUAAUUUUAAUUAAUAAAUGGUAAAACUAAAAAAAAUGAAUCAUGCACUGUGUUUUUAUAUAUAUUUAGCUUAGCAAAAUCAAAUAUAACAAUCCAAAUAAACCAAAUUUGCAUGCUUAACAAUCAAAUUGAAUUAGAGGUGAUCAUGGGCCGGGCGGCCCGACCCAGCCUGACGGCCCGCUCGAAAUAUGGGAGGGUUAGGGUAAAAAUAUAGGCCUGAAAUAUGCGUUUGGGCAAAAAAAAGAGGCCCGUUUAGAAAACGGGCCGGGCCUCGGGCACCACUUUUUGGCCUGGGCCCGGCCUGAAUAUAAUAAAUAUAUAUUUUUAAUUUUUUUUAAUUUUGAAAUAUUUUUAAAAUAUGUUUUUUUUUUAUUUUUUAUUUUUAAAAUAAAUUUUCGGUGUUUAUUAAAAAAUAAGCCUGGCUAGGCCGGGCUCGGGCUUAGGAAUUUUUUCCCAAGCCAGAUCUAGACAAAAUUUUAGGCCCAUAUUUCGGGCCGAGCAGGACCGGGCCCGGGCCUAGGACACGGGCCGAAAUUUUUUUCUGGGGGCCCAUGAUCACCUCUAAAUUGAAUACAUAGACUAACCAUUCAAAUAUAAUAAAGGUGUACAUUUUAUCAAUUUGAAUAAAUUAAAAUUUCACUAUUCUUAGUCAAAUAUAUAAUCUUACCAUUUCCAAGAAACAUUAUAUAUAUUCAUUAAGAUAAUACCACACUUAAUCAAAUUUCAUAGUCAACCACACUUUUUGAAUUAAACAUGAAACAAAUAUAAUCUAUUUGAAAAUACAAUAUUUCCUUAUACCUAUUUAUUAAAUCUCAAAAUUCUUAUUCAACCUAUACAUAAAUUAAUCAAUUAUAAAUACAUCUUGAAAAACAAAUUAUAUUCUUAUACUAAUAAAUAUAAUAACUAACAUGAAUUUAACCCAUGACCGAAUAUGCAUAAACUAAAACACCAUUUUAAUCAAAAUUAACAAAAGCUUCAAAACCAAGCAUAACUAUUAAUGAAUAAAUCAUGGUUAAACAAACCGAAUGCAAGCAUAAAGAAAAUUAGGUCAUUUCCACUUGGCUACCUAUAUAGAAACUAAUCAAAUUCAUUAACAAACUCACACACAUACAAUUUAAUAUAAUUUGAUCCAUAAUCCAAGUACAUUCAAACAUUUACAAAUCUUAUAAUCAAAAUACAAAUCUGAAUCUAUUUGCAUCAUUUUUAAUUACCUAUCACAAACUCCUACCAUAGCCGAAUAUACAUGGCUUAUAAUAAAAUCAUGUGAUCAAACUAAUUUGUCCUAUUUAAAACCGAAUGCAAACCCAAGCAUAGAAAUUUUCUUUACUAAAUAAUCGAACUGAAGUGGCUAAACUAAUACCUAUUCGUCUAUUGCAUUAUAUACCUAAAAUAAAUCUAACAUCAAACUAACCAAAUUGAUCAUCCAAUACCAAUGCAUAUACGACAUAUCAUUUACCUGUUUAAAUACAUAUAAUCGAACUAUCUAUUUAAAUGCAUGCGCACAAAUGCUCAUAUUUAAACCAUUUCCAAAGUCUAUAUUUCAUUACAUUACCAUACAAACUAAGCAUUUCAUUUCCGAUUAUAUAUAUAUAUAUAUCACUUAACCCAUACCAUAUUAUUACAUGCUAUAAAAUAAAUAUCAAAUUUAUAACUAUCGGCAAUCACAUUAAUUUAUCAAACAUAUACACAUAUACUAUCAUUUAAAAUCAACCCCACGAAUUAAACAUACCAUUUGAAAUUUCAUAUCCAAACCACAAAUCCAAAUCAAUACACAAUUGAACAUGCAAACAUUCAUUUACUUUAUCAAUAACACUAAAGUAAUUUACCUCUGACAUCUACAAGUACACUUCCAUUUAUAAAUCAUAUAAUAUAUUGACUUUACUACUAAUUUAAACAAGUCACACAUAACAUUCACAUAUAUAAUACCAUCCAUAAAUUGCUUAACCAUAACCAAAAUAUGCUUAAACCAUAAUUCACCCAAAACUGAACACAACAAGCUAAUUAAGUCAUUUUCGCAUGGCUUUAGUAUAUACACAUUCGAAUUAAGCAAACUUCAAAUCUAGUCUAUACAUGCCAUAGCCCCAAAAUAAAUUUCAGCUUAUAAGAUACCGUAAUUAGUCGAUAGUGUGAUAGGCUUUACUGACGAUCCCCAAGCUCGUAACGACUUCAAAAUCUAUAAAUCAAAGAUAAACAAACACAAACACGUACAGCAAGCUAUUUAAAGCUUAGUAAGUUGUAAGCAUAAAUAAUAUUUAACUAGUAAGAAUUAAAGGCACAUAGUUUAUUAUACAAAAAUAUUAUAUAUUACAUAUCACACUUUAACCACAUAUAUAUAAUUUAAUAACCGAUUAUGUCCUUGUAUAAAUGCAUAUAAAACUUUUACCUUUAACAAUAUAGUUAUCAACCAAAAUCCGAAUUAUACAUAUAUAUACAACCAUAAUAAUUCGAAACUUGUACAAACAUACUAUAUAUAAUUCCAAAUGAAUAACUUACCUUAUUUCCAUAUACUUAUUUAACUAAUACAUACCUGCACAUAUAUUUCAAUUAUAUAACCGUAUUCGUUUAACAUUGCCCGUUGAACCGGUCGAAAUUAAAUGGAAUACGAGAAUAGUCGUAAGAUUCGUACAAUGCCAACGUCUUAGACGUGGUCUUACAUGUAAUCACGGAUCGACGUCGCUGUCCCGGACAGGGUCUUACACGAAAACACAAGUCGAUGCCAACGUCCCAGACGUGAUCUUACACGAAAACACAGGUUGAUGCCAACGUCCCAGACGUAGUCUUACACGAAAACACAAGUCGAUGCCAACAUCCUAGACGUGGUCUUACACGAAAACACUUAUCAGAAAAUCCAAUGCAUUUCUAGGGUUCAUACGGGCUUACAGACAUUAAUUAUCAAUUGAAUCAAACUCAAAUAACUUACCUAUUUCAACAAAUACAAUUGGCCAAGACUUCUAAUACAUUCAGUAAUUCUAUUUAUCACCUAUCUACUAUAUACCAAUGAAUUUAACAAAAUUUAAAAGCUCAUCGACUUACCUCGAAUUUCAACGAACACAGUCGACUACUCGAUUACUUUCAACUUCCCUCGAUCCAAUUCCGUUUUCUUCGGUUCUUGAUCUUGAAUCAAGCUUUUACAAUGGCCGAACCUUGCUUGAGUUUUUCUUUUAUUUUCUUUAGUUUCGGCCUUGGGAAGAUGAUGACUAAUGAAUUAUAAUUUGAUAUUAGUUAACAUAUAUUAACAUAUUAUUAAUUUACCUUAUUAACCUUUGUUUCUAAAUAUUUAUACUUUAUAAUACAAGGUCAUUCUUGAUCAUUAUCACUCACUCACUUAAUAGUGGGCUUAUUACUUAUUAAGGACUCCAUAUUAAAAAGACAUUAGCAAAUUAACACUUUACACAUUAGCUAGCCAAUUUUUUAUUUUACGCGAUUAAGCCCUUUUUCUUCAAUUGGUCACUCAAACGAUAAAAUUAGAACACGAAAAUUUCACACAAUUAAAUUCACACAUAAUAAACACACGAAAUAAUAUUAAAAUAUUUUUUGACUCAAAUUUGUAGUCCCGAAACCACUACAUCCAAUUAGGGUCGAAAUCGGGCCGUUACAGACACUUAAGGGAGCAAAGGCAUUCACCAUAGAGAAGUCAAUGAUGAUCAAAGAUCUGAAGGAAGCCAGCCAUGCAUCCCAUUUGUUUCUCUAUUUGCUUCUCAAGAUUUUGCUUUGGCACUACACCCGUCAUCAUCUUUCCUUUCUCUUUUUUUUUAAGAAAAAAACUAUUCACCCUCGUAUUUAACUUAAUAAUCCUCUUCUUACUAACAAGUUAAUCUUUCUGUUUAGACUUCUUAAUAAGAAGAAAAAAAAGGAAGCUAAAACAACAUAAAAGAAAAAAAAUUGCUCAAAACGAAAAAAUAUAGGGACUAAUUAUAUAAUUUAAUCUAAAAUUUUCAUUUGAAAUGAUUGACAAGUUAGCUUACCAUUACACCGUUAAGAGUAAUUAAAUGAAACACAAAUGACUAAAAUGUAACCUGAAUAAAAGCAAAAGUAACUAUUUUGAUAGUUUAGUACUUUAUCUUUUCAUUUCAAAUUAGUUUAGAAAUAAUGCCAUAAAUAAACCCGGGCGAGUUUUUUUUUUCCAAUUUAAAGGGGGGGGGGGGGUAAAUGUUAUUUUCGAUCAAACAAUUUGAUCAGUUCUAUUGAAAAUUGAAAAGUUAUCCCGGCGACGGCGAGAUCAACAUUUUUCCGCUUGGUCCUGCGACGGUUUGCGUAACCCUCUUCUCCUUCAGAAUCAGAAUCUGUGGUACUCGCUUCCAACUCACUGAGUCGACUCACGACUUAAAAAAUGAAUGAAAUGAUCUCCGGAGUGGGUGAACCGGUGGUAACGGAUGCAACAAAGGGCGGCGGAUCCAAUGCCGCUCGAAUUGCGGAAGUGAAGGCGUGGCUGGCGGCUCAGUUCGAUGCCGCCGGGAAAGAAGUCCCUGAUUUCGAAUACACUCCGCGAAGCAUUGCUCAUUUGUACAAUCUGGCUACCGUCUCGCAGGCAAAGACUCAAGCUGCCAACAUUGUUGCCAACGAUUUUCGCCAGAAAGCCGCCGAAUACCGUUCUCAAGGUCCUAAUUUGUUUUUUUUUUCUUUCUAAAUUGAAUUGAAAUUCUCAAAUUCAAACAAUUUCAUCUUGUUCUUCCUAAAAUUGAAAUCUCUUAUAGCUGCACGAAUUAGAGAGAUAUUGGAGAACGUAGGAUUAGCGCAGGAGAGUUUGCCGUCAAAUGUGGUUGCAUCGGCGCAAGUUCUGGCAAACGUUGCUAAUUUGUUGAAUAUUCGAGACACCGAACUUAGUAGGUGGGUUGCUUUCAAUUUACAAUUUUGAAAACUUCCGUGAUUCAUGUUGAUUUCCAUGUAUUAUAUUUGGAACCUAACGAGGAAGAAAAACAAAAUGGAUCUAG
rnacentral:lncRNA from 1 species